AGAUGGCAAAAGGCCUGAGGGUGAAUCUGGGCGAGCUGGUUGAGUCCAUGCGUUUGUGCUUCCUCUCAGUCCACUUUCGCUUACGAUGGGGCGACUCUUGUCCAUCGUCACCUCACCGGGAAACUUUUCCUGCCGGGCCAGUUAAUGGUCCCCUGUACCAUCCCCAUCCUGAGUGACUACUAAGCAGCCGCAGCGACUCGGGGUUGCUCCGUGACCACGUUACUCAGUUAACCUUCUUGUUCCCUGGAGAGGCGGAGCUGAAUGGCCCGGACGGGGUUUCUCCAUGUUUCCCAGGCUGGUCUCAAACUCCUGGACUCAAGCAAUCUGCCCACCUUGCCUCCCAAAAUGCUCCUCCAAAAAAGGAGUGUGCCGCCACACCCAGCCUGAGCAACUUUUGUUUUUAAGGUGAAGGACAUGUUUGCUUCCCUUUCCACCAUGAUUGCAAGUUUCCUGAGGCCUCCCUAGCCAUGCUGAACUCACAGUUUUUAAAGUAUCUAGUGUAUAUAAGGACAAGCCAUUCUCAGUCAAGCAUGAAACUGAAUCUGAGGAAAAGAAGAAAGCUGAAAACACACUGAGGAUUAUGGGAGAGGGGCAAGUGCAUGAAGCUUCUCAAUGACAUACAGACACUCUAAAAGCUCAAGAGAUCAAUUAUUCAACUUCAAGAACUGAAAUUUGAACACAGAUUUUGAGCUUCCAAAUCAGGAGAAAAAGAAGUGUUCUAUAAGAAGUUUGGACAAGACUCUGCAAGAAGUUAAGAGGUCCUUAAAGGCAACUGUGAAUUAACGGAGACUAGUUUUGAGAAAAUCAGUCCUGAUUUGUUUCUCCUGGAGUUUUCUUCUUUAUGUGAUCCUUCAUAAAAGCUGCUAAUAUGGGAAAGAUUGAAAUCAGCAAGUUUCUGGCUGUAAGCUAAAAGAGGCUCUUGAAUCAUAUUUCCGCCUGCUUAGCAAAUUUCUCUUGCGACAAUUGGAUGUUAUUUGGGGUUCCAUACUAGCAGGAAGAAGUACAAGCAAAGCUAAGUCAUUUUGAGAAUAAAUAUUAUCUCUCUAUAUAUUUGUAAAUGUUAUUUUCUUUUUUUUUGAGGUUUAUGAUUGAUCCUUGGCAUGUGUCCCCUUGUGUAUUGCUCUACUAAAAAUAGCCUAAAAAAGAAUUUUCCCCUCGAUGUGGAGCUUCUCUUUAGUUACAAUUCUACUUUCUCCUUCACUUGAGUAUCAGUCUUCAGAGAACUACCAUAACAAAGGAGUGGAUACAGAUAUACGCAAAAAAGUCUAUGAGAAAAUUAGUACAUUAAAUUUGUGAAAGCUCAUUUAAAGUAAUUUUCUACUAACAAUUUUAAUCAAAUGUAUUAAUCAUAUUUCUAUGCUUAGUGAUGUUAAAUAAAAAUUUAAAAGGUGGCAAUCAAUAAACAGAGAUAAAAGCUUCUCAAGAAUAAAUGAAAGGAAGUAAUAAAAAGACUCACUAAGCUGAAUUGCCUCCUAUCAACAGCAGCUGAUAAAAUAUUAAAAGAUUUGCCUUGUGUAAUGUCUCUGGAGAGCUGUCUUACUGAUGUACGAGGCCAUGAUUGACAACUUUGAGACUUUGCUGGAAGCGACAAAAGUAUAUCUAUAAUAUUAUGCUGAAUUGCAUAGGUCUUUCUUCUUAAAUGAGGCUAGAAAUAACAUACCACCAAGUGUUUGGCUUUUAGGAAAUUGAGCAUUUUCUUUAGUUCUAGCUGCAGUUUAAUUUCCUCAGAAUUAGACAUUAUGCGGUAUCUGGAACGUUAAAAAAAAAAAAAAGCAAAAACAGAGUAUUGUACCUAAUGAUAUGUCAAAUAAUUUUGGAGGAAUUAAGAAAUCACUGGAAGAAAUUACAUGGGUGGGUAAUGGUUUUUAUGUCACAAUAAAUAAUUAGUAAUAUUUACUGACACAUUUCAUGUGCCUGGUACUGAGCUAAAUGAUUUAUGUGCAUUGUUUGUAUUAAGCCCCCAAAAUUCUGUGGUAUAUGUAAUGAUAUUUCCAUUUUUCUUGAGAUAAGGAACUGAAACUCAGAAAAGUUAAGGAACUUGUCCAAGAUUAUAGUAAGUGGCUUAGUUCAAUUUUGAAUCUAGAUCAAUCUGACUCCAACCAGCAUGAUGAACUGAAACUGACUAUGAGGCUGGUGACACUCUAGGCAUUUAUUCACAAGAGGUAUUGUGAUGACAUGUGAGAGAAUGUUGGAUGAAGGAAGCACAUACUAGAAAGAUAGGAAAGACCAGAAAACACAGGGAAGUGCUAUUUAUUUGCUUUCCUAGUUCCAGUAACUUGGUCUAAUGGGGAGGAUGAAAGUAGACAGAUACCUGAAAACACUUUGAGAUUUAUGUAUAAGCAGCAUGACUUCAGUGACCAAGCCACACAGAAUCUGGGAGUGGAACAUUUUCUUUGGUCAUUAUGCCACUGCGGCAUGGUUUGUUAGUGCAGUGAGAACUAAAGUAUAGUGUGGUAACCUGAAACUGUUAUGGUUAUGGGUACACCUGGGUGGGUAGCUGUUCACCCCUUCACAGAGGGUAGGAGUGGUGAUAGCAAAGUAGCUCUUCGCAGUAACUUUCAGAACAUAGACAUUAUGUAAGAUCUGAAGUUUGAAAACCUGAAACAAAAGCAGAGCAUUAUAUCCAAGCACAUUGGAGACAACUGUGGAGGAAUCAAGGAACAUCUAGCAGAGAUUUAAUGUUUUAGGGACUGUUUUUUAUUUCAGAAGGUAAUAAGUGUAAAACAGUCAAACUCUAGGCAUAGGGAUGAACAUUAUUUUGUGUCAUAAAUUUGUCUAAUAUAGUUGCUGCUUCAGCAUCCAGUUUUGGCUUGUCAUGGUCAAGGUGACCAGUCAUGCCCUGUCACCUUUGGUUUUAUUAAAAUUUUCCCUCCUUUAGUGGUUAUUUGUGAUAUAGCCCUGUUGUUCCCCAUCUCACUGACCCCAAAUUCAACACAUGCCACAGCUGCUGGCCACAGUGAAAACUAAUGAUCAACACCAGUCAUGUGAAUAAGACGUCCCUUCAUGUGUUUUCUUUAAGCUAGCCUAUCCACAGCCCCAUGGGAAAGCCUAAAGAAUAGUACCUGUGGAUUAUAAUAAAGACGUCUUACUGGUUCUUGCUCUCUAUCCCUCUCUCUACACACUGGUCAAGUACACUCUUGUCUCCAGACUUCCCAUUGGCCUCCUGUCAACACCUGUACCCACUCUGGACCUGGGAAUAAUAAACUUCUUUUUUUUUUUAAUGUAUUUUGGUUUCACUUCCUCAUUGUAUCUCACCUGACACACACAUACUAUAGUGUUCUCAAUAUUAUUUAAUGUGUUUAACAAAUCAUAACAGAUAAUAUAUGAUUGACACUGUGCCUCCUGAUUUGAUGCAAUAUGGACUAUUCCACAUCACUGAUGAAGUAGUCAUACAAAAAAUAUUUAUCUUGAAUCAAAGCAAGAUUUUAUACCAAAAUUCUAGUUCAAGUUACCUGAUAGAGGAACAUAUUAAACAAUACUAUGUGUAAACAAUACUAUGUGUAAACAAUCAGAAAAAUAAUAGAUUGUAGCCUUCAAAAAACGAUGGCCUUACAAAACAAAUAAACAAAAAGUUUGUGUGGGUGUGUACAUGCAAGGGCUAAUCUCAAAUGCAGAAAGACCAGAAUACAAUAACAAAUAUAAUUCUUGAAAGUGGAUUUCAUCUUGGUUUACCAAAAAUAGCUAUGAGGGAAAUUUGGGUAAGAAUUAGAGAAUUCUGAAUAUAGAAUGAAUUAAAACAUAUUAUGAAUUAAGUUAAUAUUUUUGAUGUUUUCUUUUGAUAUGUUCUUUUAGAAUAUGUAAUAUCCCUAUUUAUUGGAGAUGUGUGCUAAAUUAUUUACAAAUAUUUGGGUAUCUGAAAUUUACUUUCAAAUGCACCAAAAAUAAUAGCUAUACAAAAAGAAAUACAUUAAAUUUACUCUAUAGUAGUAGUUAUUCUUUCUGAGAGGUUUACACAGUAUUUUCCUGUUCUUUUGUAUGUAUGUAUUUUUAAAAGAACGUAGGCCUGGCGCAGUGGCUCACGCCUAUAAUCCCAGCACUUUGGGAGGCCGAGGUGGGCGGAUCACGUGGUCAGGAGAUCGAGACCAUCCUGGCUAACACGGUAAAACCCCGUCUCUACUAAAAACACAAAAACAAAAUUAGCCAGGCGUGGUGGCGGGCGCCUGUAGUCCCAGCUAAUCAGGAGGCUGAGGCAGGAGAAUGGCGUGAACCCGGGAGGCGAAGCUUGCAGUGAGCCGAGAUCAUGCCACUGCACUCCAGCCUGGGCGACAGAGCGAGACUCCGUCUCAAAAAAAACAAAAACGAAAACAAAAACAACAUAAAUAAAUUGAUAAUAUAUCUAUUUUGAUACAGUCAUGGUUAACAUAAAUAAUCCUGGUUAUAUCCAUAUAAAACCAUGAAUAUACAGUAAUAAAUAUUAUAAUUACAAGUAAAUCACCAUAAAUAAAUUCUGUUUUCAAUGUUUCUACUCCCAGUUUUUAAAUUUGUUUUGAAGUAAUUGUACAUUUUUAUGGUAUUCAGGUAUACAUACUAUACUUUAUUGUCAAUUAUAUAUUGUGGAAACAAGUUUAUUCUUUCAGAAUAAGGUUAUUCAGCCCUGAGAAAAUUGAUUUAUAUUAUUUCUUAUUUUUUGCUAUAAAUAAUUUUAUAUUUAAAUUUAAUGUUUACAAUUUACAUUAGUAUGCAUAUUAGUUGAAGUAUUCCAUUAAAUGUCUCAUGGAUUGUUUUUAAUUUAAUGUCACAUUUUAAAAUGUUAUAUAAAUACAUACUUAAAUAUUCAGAAAUAUUACUCAAGUGUGAAACCCAGAAUCAUCACUAUAAACAUAUAAAAUGCAUUUUGAUACAUCAGAAUAAAAAUGGAAAAUAAAUAUAAUUUCUGUUGAGCUUUUGAGGAGAAACAAAUUUACUUAGUAAAAAUAAUAGGAAAAGAUGUAGCAAAGAAUGAUAAAUAAUAUUACAAGCAAAAUAAUUUGACUAGAUGUGAUGGAAAAUACAGCAAUAAAAAUAAUUUCACAAAGAUUAAAGAAAAGAUUUCUUAAGACUAUAACAAAAAUAAGCUUACUAAGUCCCAGUUUUGGUCAAAGGCCAAUUUGUAAUUUUUAUGCAUGGCUACAACAUAUUAGCUAGCAAGGAUCACAGAAAUUGCAAGGUAUCUCUCCACAUUGGUUAUGAAUAUCCUUUAUUGGUUUUCUCUAGUUCCAGGUGAUGAAAAAUCCUAAGUAUCACUGAGGGUUUGCUGUAAUUUAAUGACUAGCCUUGAUUUAUAUAUUUACAUCCAAAUAGUUUUAACCAUGAUGAUAUAAAUAGUAAUCUAAAUACAUAACCCUUUAUCUACCAAAGUUGUAUAAACAAUUACUGAUUUUGUCUUUUAUUAUCCUUUUGAAAUUGUUCCCUUUCCCCUUUUGCUUCCCUUUAUUACAUAUCUGCAGACAAAAAGCAAUACUUGUCAUGUGGUCAAAAACAGAUGAAAAAUAUAAAGCCCCUCCUACCUUUUUUUUCUAAAUUGUUAGUGGCUAAAGAACAGGCACAGUGUUGUUAGUAAAUUUUCUAAAUGUUAUUUCCUUAUAUGUGCGGUUUCCUGAUGCUUACACCUUUUCUUCAUCUUACAUUGUCAAACGGCCCCUAGUACAGUGCCCUGUCCUCCAAGACGUCAGAUAAAUGUCUCACUAACUAAAUAUGUUGUAUGUAUUCAACUUCAUGGAAUUAAGUUAUUAGUCAUUUUUCUUAAUUUUUAAAUCUAGAAUUAUUUGGUAUAAUCAUAUAUCAUUGUUCAUUAAUUAUCUCUUUAUGAGAAAAAUCUGAUAUGGUGAAAUAAUGAAGUGUUAUGCAUCAUGCAAAGAAAAGGGCACACUCUUCAGAAUCUGCAGGUUUCAACAAUAGGUUCAUUGAGAGUCAAUACAAAAGGAAUUAGCUUUCCAAAUUUUACAAAACCAAUUUAUAUAAAGACUUCAAGCCUCUUAGGAACAAGAGAAAAAGAAAGAUCAAAUCUAUUGGAACCAGUGUUGAUGAACUUACUAUGAUGCCUAUAUUUUUAAAAAGCAGAAAACAUCUACUGAUAAUUCGACUUGGAAAAUAAUUUUUUUAAUCAGCAUUUUAAGGUCUCACUUUCUGUAUCAAUUUUAAAUGAUGAUUUUGACUUAUUUACCCAAAGUAUUACAUGAUCGGACUUCCUCUUUAUGAUUUGAAAUUGUAGUUCUCUGUCUGUAGAGUUUAUUUUUAAAAUAUCUCUGUGCAACUUGCUUUUUAAAACAACAGUACAUUCUUUAGGGCAGUUUUAGGUUCACAGCAAAACUGAACAGAAAGUACAAAAGAUCCUGUAUACCCAUUAACCUCAGACAUGCACAGCUCCCCUCCCUCACUAUCAAUAUCCUGCGCCAGAGUGGUACAUUUGUUGCAAUCAAUGAACCUAUAUUGACACAUUAUUAUUACCCAAAGACCAUAGUUUAAGGUUCACUCCUUGGUGUUGUCCUUCCUGUGGAUUUUGAUGAAUGUGUAAUGACAUGUAUUAUAGUAUCCUACAGAGUAGUUUCACUACCCUAAAAAUCCUCUAAACUCUGCCUACUCACUUCUCCUUCCCUUGACCCCUGGCAACCAUUGAUCUUUUUACCUUGUCCCUAGCAUCUUUAUCAGACUGUCUUGUGCAGUAUGUAUGAAAGAGGCCCUUUUCAGAUAGGCCUCUUUCACUUAAUAAUACGUCAUUAAGAUUUCUCCCUGUAUUUUUUAUGGCUAAAUUGUUCUUUUCUUGGUAGUGAUGAAUAAUGUUCAGUUGUCUGGAUGUACCCCCAUUUAACUAUACAUUCAACUAUUGAAAGACAUAGUAUGACCCCAUACUUAAUGUAAAUAUAACCUGAUUCCCUUUGCCAAGAAUUGUAUUUUGAAUAGGCAUAUGACACUUCUCUGAACAAGAUAUGAGGUGAUGUGCAAUGACUGGUUUCCAAGCAUUAUUUCCUAACUCUUAGUAAGGGACAUAAAGGAAUAUAUAGAACUGUCUUAUUUUCUGUAUGCUGUCUAAUCUACUUGGGGAUGUGGAAGCUUUUCUAUGGCCAUGAAGAAAACUAGCAGAGAAAACACUGUGAGAGUGGCUAAGGAGAACAAUAGAAAAAACAUGGAUUUUUGAAAUCUUUAACAAAAUCUUGAGUUGCUGGUAUCAUAUUUCACUAUGCAGAGUAUCAGAUCUUUCUUAUUGCCAACGAGUUGAGUUAGAAUUCUAGCUUCUGGCUGCCCAAUCACAAUAUAUGUAUUUACAUUGAAACAUUUAGAAAAGAUAGGCACUAAUCUAAUUUAAAAUAAAUUUUAAGUUUAGUUGUUAUAUUAAUAUUCAUAUUAAUUAACUCAAUAAUUUUUAAUAAAAACUAGUCAUAUUCUGAGACAAUUAUUUAAAGUGUAAUCUGAAUCAAUUUCUAAUAUAAGACUAGGCUAAGUGCCGGAUCUUUGGUUCUCUUUGUAAUUGUUUUUUUCUUGUAUUACUUGUGUUCUUUUUUUAAUUAAAAAUGUAUUUUCAUUUUAUUUAAAUAUUUUUACCUGCCUGAAGAGAGAUCCUGAGGGUACAUAUGUAUAGUUUUUAAGAACAUCUUUUGGGCCUACUUUCAGAGACAAUUAAGAUUUUGGAAGACCCUUGGAAGUUUGAGGAUUUUUCUGUCUUCAGAUGCAUUUUGAAGGCUUAGUACUGACUUGUGGUUAAUAUAUGCUUGGAACUGACUAUAUUUUUUUGCUCAUUGCCACUCCAAAGCUAUCAUAGUCUAUAGUCAAUCUGUUUUAUACCUAGAGACUUUUACAUUCCCAGAAUAAACUUAUUUUAAUGUUAUCAUUAUCAUUGAAUAGCUCCCACAAAAUGACUUACAGACUAAAUUUUUGUCCCAGGAACUCUUCUAUGCCAAUUUAUAUUACCUCAAAUCCUCUAAAAUAGCCAUCUCUUUUUUUUAAAUUAAUUUAUUAUUAUUAUACCUUAAGUUUUAGGGUACAUGUGCACAAUGUGCAAGUUAGUUACAUAUGUAUAUAUGUGCCAUGCUGGUGCGCUGCACCCACUAACUCGUCAUCUAGCAUUAGGUAUAUCUCCCAAUGCUAUCCCUCCCCCCUCCCCCCACCCCACAACAGUCCCCUGAUUGUGAUGUUCCCCUUCCUGUGUCCAUGUGUUCUCAUUGUUCAAUUCCCACCUGUGAGUGAGAAUAUGCGGUGUUUGGUUUCUUGUUCUUGCGAUAGUUUACUGAGAAUGAUGAUUUCCAAUUUCAUCCAUGUCCCUACAAAGGACAUGAACUCAUCAUUUUUUAUGGCUGCAUAGUAUUCCAUGGUGUAUAUGUGCCACAUUUUCUUAAUCCAGUCUAUCAUUGUUGGACAUUUGGGUUGGUUCCAAGUCUUUGCUAUUGUGAAUAAUGCCACAAUAAACAUACGUGUGCAUGUGUCUUUAUAGCAGCGUGAUUUAUAGUCCUUUGGGUAUAUGCCCAGUAAUGGGAUGGCUGGGUCAAAUGGUAUUUCUAGUUCUAGAUCCCUGAGGAAUCGCCACACUGACUUUCACAAUGGUUGAACUAGUUUACAUUCCCACCAACAGUGUAAAAGUGUUCCUAUUUCUCCACAUCCUCUCCAGCACCUGUUGUUUCCUGACUUUUGAAUGAUUGCCAUUCUAACUGGUGUGAGAUGGUGUCUCAUUGUGGUUUUGAUUUGCAUUUCUCUGAUGGCCAGCGAUGGUGAGCAUUUUUUCAUGUGUUUUUUGGCUGCAUAAAUGUCUUCUUUUGAGAAAUGUCUGUUCAUGUUCUUCGCCCACUUUUUGAUGGGGUUGUUUUUUUCUUAUAAAUUUGUUUGAGUUCAUUGUAGAUUCUGGAUAUUAGCCCUUUGUCAGAUGAGUAGGUUGUGAAAAUUUUCUCCCAUUCUGUAGGUUGCCUGUUGACUCUGAUGGUAGUUUCUUUUGCUGUGCAGAAGCUCUUUAGUUUAAUGAGAUCCCAUUUGUCAAUUUUGGCUUUUGUUGCCAUUGCUUUUGGUGUUUUAGACAUGAAGUCCUUGCCCAUGCCUAUGUCCUGAAUGGUAAUGCCCAGGUUUUCUUCUAGGGUUUUUAUGGUUUUAGGUCUAACAUUUAAGUCUUUAAUCCAUCUUGAAUUGAUUUUUGUAUAAGGUGUAAGGAAGGGAUCCAGUUUCAGCUUUCUACAUAUGGCUAGCCAGUUUUCCCAGCACCAUUUAUUAAACAGGGAAUCCUUUCCCCAAUGCUUGUUUUUCUCAGGUUUGUCAAAGAUCAGAUAGUUGUAGAUAUGUGGCGUUAUUUCUGAGGGCUCUGUUCUGUUCCAUCUCAAAUUAACCAAAAUAUAUGUUUCCAAGAAUAGGAGAUGAAAAAUAAAGUCAUUAUAAGUUUUAGAAUAAGAGCAUCCAUAAUUAACCCAGCAUGCCAUUUUAUCCUAUAAUUUAAAUUACUCUAUUUUUAUUCCAUGAUUUGUACUUGUUAAAUUCAACAGACAUUAUGACCACCUAUUUCUCUGUUACAACAAAAAGUUCUAAGAAAAAGAAAUCAGUCAUUGAUUCACAAAAUCACUCCCACAGGAUUAGAUAAAACAUCUGUUUGUUUUCUUGGAAAGUAGAAUGAAAUGAUAUAUAAUAACUGACUUACCAACUUUACUAAAAUUAGACAUGGAAAGAAUGGGAAGGAAUAGACAAAUAAACUAGCCUUAGAGGAAUGUCCUUUGGUUCAAUAGGACUUCAUGCAACUGGAAUGAGAGGUUACUUUUAGAGGCUUUUAUAAGUAACUCUUUGGAGCAAAGUAGGGGAAUAAAGACGUUUAAGAGUCCAAGUAUAAAGUUUAUUAAUUCAUUUAUUUAACAAACACUUGCUGAGUGCCUACUGUGUGGCAAAUAUUAUUCCCAAGUCUGCAUAAUAUAGGCAAUUGUUUUUGCAUUCAUCAUUCAGAACUUACACUGUAAUGAAGGAAGGAGAAAAGAAAAAUGAAAUGUAGAAAAAUGGAUGCAUGCUAAUAAGUGCUAUGGAAUAAAAAAGCAAAGCAAAGCAAAGUACAUUGUGAGUGUGAGGUAUGGGAUACAUUUAUUGAGUUGCUGUUUAAAAUAGAAUGAUCAGAAUAGACCCACCUUGAAGGUGAUAUUCAGCUUGUAUCAGAUACUUCAAUAUUUUAGAACAAGUCAGUAGUAAAAGGUUGACUGGUUCAUCUUGCAGGCAAAUUUACCAUGGAAAGGUGAGCAUUAUAAUAACUUUUAAGUAUAUGAGAACGUUUACAUUUGUGCACACACACUAGUGUAUAAUUAUCUCAUAGAUAUUAUCUUAGAAGGUUGUCGUUGUUAGCUCAUUUACAUGUGAAAUAUCAGACUCAGAGAGGUUAAGUGACUUGUCUGAGGUCAAUUGAUUAGUGCUUUUGGCUCUAAGUUCUUUCUUUAAAUUUUGUUAAGUUGUCUAUCUCUCGUAUUGAAUUUUUUACUAGCCUUUUAGAUGGCUGUUGUGAGAUAUCACAUUUUAUCACUUCCAGACUUAGUCCGAUUUCAUCUAAUUACUUUGAACAAUGAAUUAUUAUUUUUAAUUGGAAAAGUCUAGUUGUCAUUAUUAUUACUCUGACCAUAGAGAGUUAUUUCAUAUAAUCAUUCAUAUUUUUACCAUUUAAUGUUAUGAUAAUAUUCAUAAGCUUUAGCAUAGGCAGCCCAUUUAAUUGGCACUAUUGAAUGUCAGCACAGGCAUAAAAAUGCAGGUGAGUUUCUUUUAUUAAAAGUGCCCCAAACAGAGUCACAUGUCAAAUGUAAUAACAAUCUCAUAUUUCUGACUUACUUGCUUAUGAUUGUCCAUAAGCCAGUAAUAGGUUAUUCAAAGUCAUUAAAAUAAAUUGAUUUGAAAAAUUACAUUCAGUAAAAAUGCAUGUAGAAAGCAACAUUUAAUUCAGAGUAAUAAGUAUUUUUGUUUUGUUACACAUAAUGAAUGCAUCUAAGUAAAUUCCUACAGGGUCUUAUUAAAUAUUUUCAGUGAUGAUUGCUAGAUGCUUAGCAUGAUUUUCUGAAGUAUAUGAAAUAGAGUUAGAAACUGUCUUGGAGAUUAUAAUUAUGUGGCAUCGCACAAUUAUCACAUAGGAGCUGACAACCAGAAAAUAUAUAUUUUCUAAGUAAGUUGUGAUGCAAGAAAGCAAAGUUAUGAAAUCCAUUUUCCAUUAAUAGUUUAUAAGAGAGUUAUCUCUAACCUUUUUCUAACACAUACUUAGUAAUCAUCUCAAAUAUGUGAUACAGUGCAUAAAAAUUAAGAAUUAAUUAUAUUGGUAAGAAGUACUGAUUAAAAAUUAUUGAUGAGAGAAAUACAUUGAUCAUGAAAUAAAAUGUCCAUCAUGAUGAUGUUAAGAUGAGAACAGAGAAAGGUAGUAAUCUAACUCUAAAAAGACUUGUAGAUAUAUACAGAAUAUUCAAUCCAACAACAGAAUGCACAUUUUUCUCAAUUGCAUAUGGAAUAUUCUCCAGGAUAGAUCAUAUGUUAGAAAACAAAACAAGCCUCAGUAAAAUUAAGAAAGAUAGAAAUUAUAUCAAAUAUAUUUUCAGUUUGAAACUAGAAAUCAAUCAGGAGGAAUUUCAGAAAAUUCAUAAAUAUCCAGAAAUUAAACAACGUGCUCCUGAACAACCAGUUGGUCAGUGAACAAAUUAAAAGAAAAAUUAAAAUAUUUGCAACAAUUGAAAAUGGAAACACAGCAUACCAAACCUAUGAAAUACAGCAAAAGCAGCUCUAAGAGAAAAGUCUUUAGGAAUACAUGGACCCAUCGAAAAAGAAGAUCUCAAAUAAAUAACGUAAUGUUACACCUCAAGGAACUGGAAAAAGAACAAACCAAACGUACAUAAGCAGAAGGAAAGAAAUAAUAAAGAUCAGAGCAGAAAUAUGUGAAAUAGACACUAGAAAAAAAUACAAAAGAUUCUCAAAAUGAUUGAUUGGUUUUUGAAAAGAUAAACAAAAUUGAAAACCUUUAGCUAAACUAAAGUGGGCACAAAAUCAGAAAUGGAAAAGGAAACAUUAUAAUUGAUACCACAGAAAUACAAAAAAAUAUAGUGGACUACUAUGAACAAUUAUGCACUAAAAAAUUAAAUAACCCAGAAGAAAUAAAUUUCUAGACACAUAUAACCUACUAAGACUAAAUCAUGAAGAAGUAGGUCUCAAUAGAGAUUUCCCAUAACAAGCAAGGAAAUUAAAUCAGUGAUAAAAUGUCUACCUUCAAAGAAAAGCCCAGGACCUGAUGCCUUCACAGCAGAAUUCUAUCAAACAUUUAAAAAAGAACGAAUACCAAUCCUCAAAUUUUUCUGACAUAUCAAAGAGGAGGAAUGCUUGCAACCUUUUUUAAUGAAGCCAGCAUUACCCUGAUACCAAAGCCAGACAAGGACAUUACAAAAAAAGAAAACUGUAGGCCAAUCUUCGUGAUAAAUAUAGAUACAAAAAUCCUUAACAAAAUACUAGCAAACCAAAUUCAACAACACAUGGUGGAAGGAUCUUCCACCAUGAUCGAGUAGGAUUUAUCCCUGUGAUGCAACGAUUGUUGAAAUAUAUGCAAAUCAGUAAUUGUGAUACAUCACAAUAACAAAAUGAAGAACAAAAAUCAUACGAUCAUCUAAUUAGAUGCAUAAAAAGCUUUGACAAAAUUCAACAUCCUUGCGUGAUAAAAGCUCUCACCAAAUUAGGUAUAGAAGGAAUAUACAGUGAUACAAUAAAGACCAUAUAGGAGAAGCCAACAGCUAACAUUAUACUCAAUGUUCAAAAGUUGAAGUUCUUUUUAGAUUUCUCUAAAAUCUGAAACAAGGAAAGCUUACUCUUGCCACUUCUAUUCAACAUAGUAUUAAAAGUUCUUGCCAGAGCAAUUUUAUGUAAGAGAAAGAAAUAAGGCACUCAAAUAGGAAAAGAAGUGAAACUGCCUUUGCUGAGGACAUUAUCUUAUGUAUAGAAAAUGUAGAACACCCUACAGGUUUCACCUCAAAUCUGUUAGAACUAAAUUAAUACUGUAAAAUUGCAGAAUACAAAAUCAACAUACAAAAGUCAGCAGUGUUUCUAAAAACUAAUGGCAAAUUUUCUGAAAAAAAUCAAAGGUCAAUUUCAUUUAUAAAAUAGCUACAAAGAAAUAAAAUAGUUAAGAAUAAAUGUAACCAAAAAUGUGAAAGACUAGUACAUUGAACCAUAAAAUAUCAAUAAAGGAAAUUCAAUAAGAAGCAAAUAAACAGAAAAGUAUCUCAUGCUCAUGGACUGGAAGAAUUGCAUAUUUUUAUAAUAAAAUGUCUGUACAAUCCAAAGAGAUCUACAGAUUCAGUGCAGUGCUUAUCCAAAUUCCAGUGUAAUUUUUCAUAGCUAUAGAAAAAAACAACCGUAAAAUUCACAUGGAACUAAAAAUCCGUGAAUAAAGAAGGCAACCAUGAGCAAGAAGAACAAAGCUGGAGGCAUUACACUAUCUAAUUUCAAACUAUACUACAAAGCUGAAGCAAUUAAAACAGCAUGGUACUGGCAAAAAAAAAAAAUAGAUAUAUUAACCAAUUGAACAAAAUAGUGACCCCAGAAAUAAACCCAUGUAUGUACAGUCAAUUAAUUUUUAACAAAGAUGCCAAGAAUAUGCAAAGGGAAAAAGACAGUCUCUUCAAUAAAUGGUCUUGGGAACACUAAAUAUCCACAUGCAGGAGAAUAAAAUUGGAUCCUCAUCUCACACCAUAUACAAAAAACAAACCAAAAUGGAUUAAACACUUAAACAUGGCACCGGAACCUUUAAAGCUAAUAGAGGAAAACAUCAGUGAAAAUUCACACAACUUUGGGCCAUGAAAUUAUUUUUGGAUAUCACCCAAAACACGCAUGCAACAAAAGGAUAAAUAGACAAAUAGGAUUACAUCAAACUAAAAUUUCUGCACACCAAAGGAAACAACAACAUUCAAAGACAGCCUGUGGAUUGUCAGAAAAUAUGUGUAAGCCAUUCAUAUGAUAAGGGGUUAAUGUGCAAAAAAAUGCAAGUAACUCAACUCAACAGCAAAAAACAAAAAACCCAAUUAAGAAAGGGGCAAAAGACUCGAACAGACAUUUCUCAAAGGAAGACAUACAAAUGGCCAACAAAUAUAUACAAAAAUGUUCAACAUCACUAAUCACUACGCAAAUGCAAAUUUAAACCACAAUGAGAUAUCAUCUCACAUUUGUCAGAAUGGUUAUUAACAAAAGAUGAAAAAUAAGUGUUAGCAAGAUGUGGAGAAAAGGGAAGCCUCAUACGCUUGGUGAAAUGUAAAUUGGUGUGGGCCUUAUGGAGAACUGUGUAUGGAGGUUUUUCAAAAAAACUAAAAAUAGAAUUGGCAUAUAAUCCAGCAAUCCCACUUCUGGGUAUUUACUCACAAGUUUUAAAAUCAGUUUGUCAAAGAGAUGGAGAUGUCUGCACUCUAUGUUCUCUAUAGCAUUAUUCACUACAGCCAAGAAAGGGAAUCAAUCUACGUGUCCAUCAACAGAUGAAUGAAGAAAGAAAAUGUAUAUAUACACAAUAAAAUGCUAUUCAGGCUUAAAAAGAAUAUUCUGUUAUACGUAGCAACAUGAACAGAAUUGGAGAGCAUUAUACUAAAUGAAAUAAGCCAGGCAAAAAGAAAAUACCACAUAAUCUCACUUAUAUGUAGAAUCUAAAACAAUUAAACUCAUAGAAGCAGAAAGUAGAAUGGUGAUUACACAAAGCAGGGGCAUGGGAGAAUGAAGAAAUAGUAGUCAAAGGGCACAGAAUCUCAGAGACAGAAAGGAUAUGUUUUUCUUCUUGAGUUCUAUUGCACAGCAUGGUGAAUAUAGUUAAUAACACAUUGCAGUACAUUUCAAAACUGCUAAAAGAAUAAAUUUUUAAUGUUCUCAUCCCAGAAAAUUUUAACUGUUUGAAGUGAUGAAUAUGUUAACUAGCUUGAUUUAAUUAUUUCUCAAUAUAUUUGUAAAUCAUGACAUCACUUUUUGCCCCAUAAAUCCAUAUAAUUAUAAAUUGUCAAUUUACAACAGCAAGGGAAAUAGGUGAACCCAAGAGGUAGAAUCAUACCACUUGGGUUUGUUAUGCACCACUUCAUAAUGCAUUGGAUAUAGACAUAAAGGAAAGUGUGAUGUCAAAUAUGGCUUCUAAAUUUCAGAAUUGCAUGAUAUAUUGAUAGUUAUCAUUGUAUUAGUUAAUAUUAGAAGAGCAUCACGCAGGAAGAGAGGGAAUAAGGCACUUAGUUUUGCACAUGUUGAGUUUCAGGUACCUUAGUGGUUUACAAGUACAUGUGUCAAGUAGGCAGUUGAACAUACACAGAGAUCAGAGGAGUGAUCCAAGUUGGGGAUAUAAAAAUGUGAGCAACCAAUGGACUAUAGAGAGCAGUUAAAUUUAUUAGCAUGAAUGAGGUAUCCAAGGUUGAGAGUAAAAAAUAAAAUCAGAAGAGGUAUUAUCACUAAAUCUUGAAGAAUUGCAACAAAUAUGCAAGUAAUGCAUGAUGGGCCUAUGAAGCAGAUAGAAAAAGAGGGGCAAAAGAGGAAACAAGAAAUCCGGAAGAUAUUAUCCUGGAAGCUAAAGAGAGAACUUCAUGAAUGAAGGUACAUGUACAUGCUGUCAAGAGCUAAGAAAGGUGACCGAUCCUAUUGCCAUUGGACAUAGCCAGCUUUGCUAUGCUCUGGUUUUUUUUUGAUACAUAUUUAUUUCUGUUACCUAAAAAAAAAUCGUAGUAUGUCUAAAUGAGAAGUCAAUUUUAAUAACCUGAUAGCUUUGAUGAUACAAAUAUUAAAAACUUCUGACAACUAAAAAUUAAAUACCAAAUCAAAGGUUAGUGAAAAAUUAGAAAAAACUUUGGAAGCACAUAUUAUGAAGAUUUAUGAUACAAUAUUAUUAUACAUCAAUAAAAAUGAUGACCACUGCAAUAGAAAAAUGGGACAAGAAAAUAAAACUGAAUAGGCAGUUCAGAAAAAUAGUAAUGCAUCUGUCUGGUAAACUUAAAAAAAUACUCAUCAAAUGAACAUCUAAUUUCUGUACUGUAAAGGUGAGGACCAAGUCCUGAAAACCAGUAACUCCUCCUCAAUUUGGAAGGUAUACGUCUACCUUCUGUUUCCCAGCUAAUAGUAGUUAAUUAGGUUUACAUUCAGGUUUUAUAGCUUGAUUGAAAUGUAUAAACUGUUAUAACAUCUUUCUGAAGGAGAAAUUUUUUGAGUGAUCAUAGUUUAUUUAAAACACUAUAAUUCAGAGCUAUAAAGCAGAAUUAAAGAAAAGCAAAAGAAUGACUCUUUUUCUUAUCAACUAGAAGGAAUGUGUGUGUUUUCCACUAUGGAAAAUAAAGAUGAAUGUUUAAAUAAAGGCUUAAGUGAAAAUGAGUGGCCUAGAGUUGAGAGCCCUCUAUAGUUCUAGGCUUGUCAAUAAUAUUUUUAUGCAUGUUUUCUCAUAAACAAGAUCUGUUAUGAGGAAUACAUAAGUUACUCUAAUGGAAAAAUAAUCUGUAUUUUUGUCUCUGAGAUCAAAUGUACGUUGGCCAACGUAUUAUUCACAUAUUCAGAACUUUUCACAUAUUCAGAUGAAUAUUCUGAAUAUUCACCUAUUCAGAACUAUGUACAUCUCUUCUGAUGUACAUAGAAAUAUGAAGAGAAUAUCAGCAAUGACAUUUAAAUGCAGUAUCUUUAUCAAUAGAAGUUUAUGCUAUUUUAGUAAUGUCAGGAUGAUGAAUAGCAUAUAAUUCAUAGAAAAAUGGCCCAGAGCAGAUACACGGAAUUAACAUAGGAUGAAUUCAUCUGGUAAUAAGUCAAAUGAAAUUUUCAGUUUUAUAAUCUUAACGUUUCAAGAAGCUAAUCUUAAUUUACAAUUUAUUUUCAUGAUUUGAAUGUUUUGAACCAUUCUUUUAACCUAAUUAAAUUGUGUCAUUUAACCUAAAUUGACAUUAUUUUUACAUUUUUAAGAGGUUAAAGUUUUCUAAUAUAUUGUACUGAAAGAUCCAUUUGAAAUGGAAAUAAACACACUUUUCCAAGGGAAGCAGUUUGGUCUAAUUCCAAUAUCAUGUUUCUUCCCUAUUUAUUCAAUACUUCUAAACAAAACUUGUUCAAAAAUUUGAUGCAUUCUUUCAAAACUUACUUAAGUGUUAUUUACACGUGCAUGUCCAAUACAAUUAAUGAAAUCCAAAAUCUCUGGAGCACCAAGCCACUGUCUUCCUUUUCUUUGUAUUUUCCUACAUACGUAAUACAGGUCAGUGGUUUUCAACCCUGGUUAAGCAUCUCAGUGAUCUAUGAAGCUUUAAAACGUAUGGUGAGAGAGGCCAGCAUCCUUACCCAUUCAUACUGAGUUUCAAACUGAGUCUGAAUCUCCUGGGGUGGCCUCUCAUUUUCAUUUUGAAAAAUCUUCACAGACGAUAGUGGGACUGAAUUAAUUAACACUCUUUAGGUUAUAAAUAAAAAACUUAUCAUGCACUACCUUGUAAAAGAUGAAAUUAUUUUAAGCAUAAAAAGGUCUCUUAUAGAAACAGAGUAGGGAUGUGGCCAGAGUCCAUUGAAGGUGCUCCAUAGAGGGCUUCUCUUGCAGUCUCCUUUCUGGUCCCCUUUCUGUCUUUGCAAGCCAGCUUCAGUCUUCUCUACCUUUAAAUGUAAGCAUCCUAUCUUUCUCAGCUUCCGGGUUUACGUGGUCUCAUCACAAUAAAGCAGUCAGACUUACUCUUGAAUCCUUUACUGUCUCCCAGGCUAGAGUGUAAUGGCGCAAUCUCGGCUCACUGCAACCUCUGCCUCCUGAGUUCAGGCGAUUCUCCUGCCUCAGCUUGCUGAGUACCUGGGAUUACAGGUGCCCACGACCACGCCCAGCUAAUUUUUGUAUUUUUAGUAGACACAGGGUUUCACUUUGUUGGCCAGGCUUGUCUCAAACUCUUGACCUCAAGUAAUCCACCCACCUCAGCCUCCCAGAGUGCUGGGAUUACACCGUGCCUGGCCUGAAUCCCUUAGUUCUGACUGUAAGUUACUUAGGGGAAGAGCUCAUUUGCUGAGUUUGGAUCAGGUAUCAAAUCUUAGCAUAUAACCAUAUUUUACAAUUAUUACUGCUCCUACCAUGGGUGGUAUGAGGGCAAAGGGGCUGGAUUGGUGUGAAGAAGCUGGGAAGACAAAUCUACAAUGUCCUUUAUAAAGGCAUGGCUAUGAUUCAGAAUCACUGGAUAAUUUGGUUAAACAACAAACAUUUACUGAGCUCAUAGCAGGUGUCCUACUCGGCAGGGAAUAAAAAUUAAGCAGGAUAAAUGUGGUCCCUGGUUGCAAGAUGCUUAAAAUAUUCUGUUUGAUUCUUGAUGACUUUUCAGAAAAUCAUGUUCACUUAUAGAUUGAGUGACGGAAGAACUAGUGAAACCAGAUGUUGAGAAGGGAUAUUUUCAAAGGCUGGGUUCUCUGUAAGAAUCCAGUAAUUUUAUCCUCUUUAUUUUACUGCCAGUGAGGAGCAGAUGAUGAUAACAGAAAGACUGCACACUGUGUGUGUAUGGUGGCGGUGGGGGGUGGGGGGCAGAAAAAGGCGGGUAGAGAAGGAGAUAAAAGUGGGUGAGGGUGGGAGAGAAAAGCUGAAAGGGAAAACAAAGGAUGAGGUUUUAUAUACAUUGCUAAAUUCUUCAACGUUCCUAAUACCUCCUUAUUUUCAUACUUGUUCUUAUGGUGAUGCAGGAUUCUUUUCUACAUUUUGGUUGCUCACUUCCCAAAGCUGUUUAGAGACAUAAACUCUAAGAAUCCACAAAGAUAAUAACUCUUGUCAAUACCACUAGGGAUUUUGAAAAUUGUUGGUUUCACAUUGUCAUUAUCUGUACCUCAUUUUGCUAAGUACACACAUGAAUUCCCUGUUGUCAAGACUGUGUAGUCGAAGACAAACCACGUUAUUUUAUGUCAUUAAAACAAUUGAAUACAUUUAUUAAAUCAAGGUAAAGUGACAAUUUCCACGUUUAAUUUUACCUGUGGCUACAAAGGUUUUUCCAGAUAUAGACAUAAAGAAAUACAAUGUGUAAUGACUGAAGAGUUAGUGAAAAAGCAACAUUUCUAAAUUGAAAAAUUGAUUUUUGGUGCAUUCCAAAGUUAUCUUUCAGAAGAAUCUUGUUUCUAAGAUUACAAUUUCAGAUGUCAUUUCUAUUGGAUUUGAACUAAUUACUGAUUAGGCUGAAAGUGUGUGACUUCUUUACUGGCCCUCUCUAACUACCUAAAAGGUAAACCUCUAUUUGUAAACUUGUGUGUGUGUGUGUGUGUGUGUGUGUGUGUGUGUGUGUGUGCAUGCCUGCAAUAUCCUUCACACCGUCCCUUAGAUAUUGUCCUAGAGUGAAUAGAGGUUGCCUGUUUAGACUGUGUGUUGUGACAAGUGUGAGGAUUAUGAUGCUCUUUCAUAAAAUUUCUAUGAAAGACUCUGUCUAAUAGAUGUGAAUGUAGCUGUAAAAAUACACUUGAUUUAUUUUAUUUUGUUCUCUACUAUUUAUUUGGUGGAAAUAUCUAGAGGUUCUAUGGUAGUAAAUGGUUGAAGAAAUCCACUCACCACACUCAUUCCAUAUUCAAAACAGCAACAGCAACAUUAGAGGCAGCAGAAUAAGCUACACAGGCUCAUGGUACUCAGAUAAUUCAGAGAUAUUAUCAACUAAAUAAGAUCCCAGACCUCAGAAAUAAAGUGAAGUACUUUAAACAGAUCAUAAAUUUUAAAACUAGAAUUUCAAAAUUAAUAAUAUGUAUCCUGUGACUAUUUUAUAUCAAAUUAUAUAAAUGUGAAUAUUAGGAUGUUCAUUCUAACUGAUUUCAUAAGACAUAUACAAGCUUAUCAUUACAAAGUAUUUUAUAUUGGCAUGGGACACUUGCAAAUAUAUUUUGAAUUUUUUCAAUGCAUUUUUUUUUAAAAUAUUUUAUUUUAAGUUCUGGGAUACAUGUGCAGGAUAUGCAGGUUUGUUACAUAAGUAAAUGUGUACCAUGAUGGUUUGCUGCACGUAUCAAUCCAUUACCUAGGUAUUAAGUCCCACAUGCAUUAGCUAUUUAUCCUGAUGCUCUCUCUCCCCCCACACCCCUAACAGGGCCCAGUGUGUGUUGUUCCCCUCUCUGUGCCCAUGUGUUCUCAUUGUUCAGCUCCCAGUUAUAAGUGAGAACACGUGGUGUUUGAUUUUCUGUUUCUGUUUUAGUUUACUGAGGAUAAUGGCUUCCAGCUCCAUCCAUGUCCCUGCAAAGAACAUGAUCUUGUUGUUUUUUAUGGCUGCAUAGUAUUCCAUGGUGUAUAUGUACCACAUUUUCUUUAUCCAGUCUAUCAUUGAUGGGCACUUGUGUUGAAUCCAUGCCUUUGCUAUUGUAAAUAGUGCCGCAAUAAACAUACACAUGCAUGUGUCUUUAUAAUAGAAUGAUUUAUAUUCCCUUGGGCAUAUACUCAAUAAUGGGAUUGCUGGGUCAAAUGGUAUUUCUGGUUCUAGGUCUUUCAGGAAUCAUCACACUGUCUUCCACAAUGGUUGAACUAAUUUACAUUCCUACCAACAGUGUAAAAGUGUUUCUAUCUCUCCAUAGCCUCACCGGUAUCUGUUGUUUCUUUACUUUUUAAUAAUCACUAUUCUGACUGGUGUGAGAUGGUAUCUCAUUGUGGUUUUGAUUUGCAUUUUUCUAAUGACCAGUUAUGUUGAACUUUUUUUCAUAUGUUUGUUGGCCACAUGAAUGUCUUCUUUUGAGAAGUGUCUGUUCAUGUCCUUUGUCCACUUUUUAAUGAGGUUGUAUUUUUCUUGUAAAUUGGUUUAAGUUCCCUGUAGAUUCUGGAUAUUAGACUUUUAUCAGAUGGAUAGAUUGCAAAAAUUAUCUCUCAUUCUGUAGAUUGUCUGUUUACUCUGAUGAUAGUUUUGUUUUUCUGUCCAGAAGCUCUUUAGUUUAAUGAGAUCCCAUUUGUAAAUUUUUGCUUUUUUUGCAAUCACUUUGGGUGUUUUCGUCAUGAAAUAUUUGCCUGUGCCUAUUCCUAAAUCAUAUUCCCUAGAUUUUCUUCUAGGGUUUUUAUAGUUUAGAGUUUUACAUUUAAGUCUUUAAUCUAUCUUGAGUUAAUUUUUGUAUAAGGUGUAAGGAAGGGAUCCAGUUUCAAUUUUCCAGUUUUGAGAAUCCUUUCCCCAUUGCUUGCUUUUUUCGGGUUUGUUGAAGAUCAAAUGCUUGUAGAUGCACAGUCUUAUUUCUGAGAUCUCUAUUCUGUUUCAUUGGUCUAUGUAUCUGUUUUUUUUUUACUGGUACCAUGCUGUUUGGUUACUGUAGCUUUGUAGUAUAGUUUGAAGUCAGGUAGUGUGAUGCCUGCAGCUUUAUUCUUUUUGCUUAGAAUUGUUUUGGCUAUAAAGGGUCUUUUUUGGUUCUACAUGAAUUUAAAAGUAUUUUUUUUCUAAUUCUGUGAAGAAUGUCAAUGGUAUUUUAAUGGGAAUAGCAAUGAAUCUAUAAAUUACCUUGGGCACUAUGGCCAUUUUCACGAUAUUUAUUCUUCUUAUCCAUGAGACGAAAUGUUUUACCAUUUGUUUGUGUCCUCUCUUAUUUCUGUGAGCAGUGAUUUAUAGUUCUUCUUGAUGAGAUCCUUGACUUCCUUUGUUAGCUAUAUUUCUAGGUAUUUUAUUCUCUUUGUAGCAAUUGCGAAUGGUAGUUCAUUCAUGAUUUGGCUCUCUGCUUGUCUAUCAUUGGUGUAUGGGAAUGUUUAUAAUUUUUGCACAUUGAUUUUGUAUCCUGAGACUUUGCUGAAGUUGCUUAUCAGCUUAAGAAGCUUUUGGGCUGAGAUUAUGGGGUUUUCUAGAUACAGGAUCAUGUCACCUGUGAACAGAGCUGGUUUGACUUCCUCUCUUCCUAUUUGAAUAUCCUUUAUUUCUUUUUCUUGCCUGAUUGUUUUGGCCAGAAAUUCCCAUACUAUGUUGAAUAGGAGUAGUGAGAGAGGGCAUCAUUUUCUUGUGCUGGUUUUCAAGAUGAAUGCUUCCAACUUUUGUCCAUUCAGUAUAAUAUUGGCUGUGGGUUUGCCAUAAAUGGCACUAAUUAUUUUGAGGUAUGUUCCAUUAAUAUUUAAUUUAUUGAGAGUUUUUACCAUGAAGGUAUGUUGAAUUUUAUCAAAGGCCUUUUCUGCUUCUAUUGAGAUAAUCAUGUGGUUUUUCUUUAGUUCUGUUUAUGUGAUGAUUUACAUUUAUUGAUUUGUGUAUGUUGAACCAGGCUUGCAUCCUGAGAUGAAGCCAAUUUGAUCAUCAUAGAUAAGCUUUUUGAUAUGCUGCUGAAUUCACAUUGCCAGUAUUUUAUUGAAUAUUUUCACAUUGAUGUUCAUCAGGGAUAUUGGUUUGAAGUUUUCUUUUUUCAUUGUAUCUCUGCCAGUUUUUGGUAUUAGGAUGUUGCUGGCCUCAUAAAAUUAGUUAGGGUGGAGUCUCUCCUUUUAGUUGCUUGGAAUAGUUUCAGAAGAAAUGGUACCAGCUCUCUUUGUACCUCUGGUAGAAUUCAGCUCUCAAUCCAUCUGGUCCUGGGCUUUUGUUUUGGUUGGUAGGUUAUUUAUUACUGCCUCAAUUUCAGAACUCGUUGUUGUUCUAUUGAGGAAUUCAACUGCUUCCAGGUUCAGUCUUGAGAGGGUGUAUGUGCCCAGGAAUUUAUCCAUUUCUUCUCAGUUUUCUAGUUUAUUUGCAUAGACGUGUUUAUAGUAUUCUCUGAUGGUUGUUUAUAUUUCUGUGGAGUCAGUGGUUAUAUCCCCUAUAUCAUUUGUUGUGUCUAUUUUAUUCUUCUUUCUUUUUUCUUUAUUCUAUCUGUUUUAGCAGACUAUAUAUUUUAUUAUAUUUUUUAAAAAAAAUCAGCUCUUGGAUUCAUUAAUUUUUUGAAAGGUUCUUCGUGUCUCUAUCUCUUUCAAUUACGCUCUGAUCUUGGGUAUUUCUUGUCUUCUGCUAACCUUGGGGUUUGUUUGCUCUUGGUUCUCUAGUUCUUUUAGUUGUGAUGUUAGGGUGUUAAUUGGAGAUCUGUCUAGCUUUUUGAUGUUGGUAUCCAGUGCAAUAAAUUUUCCUGUGAACACUGCUUUAGCUGUGUCCCAGAGAUUCUGGUAUGUUGUCUCUUUGUUCUCACUGGUAUCAAAAAACUUGAUUUCUGCCUUAAUUUCAUUAUUUACCCAGGAGGCACUCAAGAGAAGAUUGUUCAAUUUAUGUGUAGUUGUGUGGUAUUGGGUGAGUUUUAAAAUUUUGAGUUCUAAUUUGAUUGUGUUGUGGUCUGAGAGACUGUUUGCUAUGAUGUCAGCUAUUUUACAUACCUGAUAAGUGUUUUACUUCCAAUUACGUGGUUGAUUUUAGAGUAAGUGCCAUGUGGCACUGAGCUGUCUGUUUGUUCUGUUGUUUUGGGAUGGAGAGUUCUGUAGCUAUCUGUCAUGUCCACUUGAUUCAGAGCUGAGUUAAAGUCCUGAAUAUCCUUGUUAAUUUUCUGUCUCAAUGAUCUGUCUAAUAUUGACAGUGGGGUGUUAAAGUCUCCCACUAUUAUUGUGUGGAAGUCUAAGUCUCCUCGUAGGUCUCUAAGAACUUAUUUUAUGAAUCUAGAUGCUCCUAUAUUGGGUGCAUAUGUAAGACAGUUAGCUCUUCUUGUUGAAUUGAUCCCUUUGCCAUCAUGUAAUGCAUUUAUUUGUCUUUUUAAAUCUUUGUUGGUUUAAAGCCUGUUUUUUCAGAAACUAGGAUUGCAACCCCUGCUUUUUUCUGCUUUCCAUUAUCUUGGUAAAUUUUUCUUCAUCCCUUUAUUUUGAGCCUGUGUGUGUCUUUGCAUUUGAGAUGGGUCUCUUGAAUACAGCACACUGAUGGAUUUUGACUCUUUAUCCAACUUGCCACUCUGUGCCUUUCAAUUCAGGCAUUUAACUCAUUUACAUUUAAGGUUAAUAUUGUUAUGUGUGAAUUUGAUCCUGUCAUCAUGAUGCUAGCUAUUUAUUUUGCAAACUUGUUGAUGUAGUUGCUUCAUAGUGUCAUUGAUCUGUGUACUUCAGUGUGUUUUUGCAGUGGCUGGUAAUGGUUUCUUUUUUUUUUUUUUUUCUUUCCAUAUUAAGUGCUUCCUUCAGAAGCUCUUGCAAGGCAGGAUUGCUGGUGAUGAAUUUCCUCAGCAUGUGCUUGUCUGAAAAAGAUUUUAUUUCUCCUUCACUUAUGAAGUUUAGUUUGGCCAGAUAUGAAAUUCUGGGCUGGAAAUUCUUUUGUUUAAGAAUGUUGAAUAUUAGCCUCCAAUCUCUUCUGGCUUAUCGAGUUUCUGCUGAGUGCUUCACUGUUAGUCUUAUGGGCUUCCCUUUGUAGGUGACCUGGCCUUUCUUUCUGGCUGCCCUUAACAUUUUUUCCUUCAUUUCAACCUUGGAGAAUCUGAUAGAUUAUGUGUCUUUGGGUUGAUCUUCUCAUGGAGUAUCUUAUUGGGGUCCUCUGGGUUUCCUGAAUUUGAAUGUCUGCCUGUCUUGUUAGGUUGGGGAAGUUCUCCUGGAUGAUACCCUGAAGUAUGUUUUCCAGCUUGGUUCCAUUCACCCCAUCUCUUUCAGGUACUGCAAUCAGUCAUAGGUUUGGUCUUUUUACAUAAUCCCAUAGUUCUUGGAGAUUUCGUUCUUUUCUUUUCAUUCUUGUUUCUCUAAUCUUGUCUGCCUGUCUUAUUUCAGCAAGAUAAUCUUCAAGCUAUAAAAUUCUUUACUCUGCUUAGUAGAUUUGGUUAUUAAUACUUGUGGUUGCAUUGUGAAGUUCUCAUGUUGUGUUUUUCAGCUCCAUCAGGUUAUUUGUGUUCCUCUCUAAACUGGUUAUUCUGGUUAAAAUCUCCUGUAAUGUUUUAUAAAGUUCUUAACUUCUUUGCAUUGGGUUAGAACAUGCUCCUGUAGCUCAGCAAAAUUUGUUAUUAUCCACCUUCUGUAACUUACUUCUGUCAAUUCAUCCAUCUCAGCCUCCACCCACUUCUGUGCUCUUGCUGGAGAGGUGUUGUGAAUAUUUGGAGGAAAAGAGGCACUCUGUUCUUUUGAGUUUUCAGCAUUUUUUUCAUUGAUUCGUUCUCAUCUUAAUGAGUUUAUCUAGCUUCAUCUUCGAGGUUGCUAACCUUUGGAUGGGGUUUUUGUGGGGACUUUUUUGUUGAUGCUGUUGUUGUUGUUGCUUUCUGUUUGAUUGUUUUUCUUUUAACAAUCAGGCCCCUCUUCCAUAGGGCUGCUGAAGUUUGCUGGGGGUCCACUCCAGAACCUAUUCACCUGGGUUCAUCCUGCACCUGAGGGUGCAAUGCAUUGUUAUUCAAUCUUUGUGUCGAGGAAUUCCUUCUUUUCUUUUUGUCUUCAUUUCCUGCUUCUCCCUUCCCCCUCUUCCCCACCAUCUCUGUAGCCAAUGGAAGACUGUAUUAGUCAGCUUGGGCUUCAUAGCAAAAUGCCACAGUCUGGGUGGGUUAUACAACAGAUAUUUGUUUCUCACAAUUUGGGAUGCUGGGAAGAUCAAGGUCAAUGUGCCAGCCAGGUCGGUUUCAUUCUGAGGCCUCUUCUUUUGUGUUAUAGACUGCUGCCAUAUUGCUGUGUGCUUGCAAAACUUCUUUUAGUGCUUACUGAGAGCAAGCAUGCCCUUUGAUGUCUCUUCCUAUAAGGACAUUAAUCCUAUUGGAUCAGAGCCUCAACCUUAUGAUCUCAUUUAACUUCAAUUACUCCUAUAGAGGCCUCAUCUCCAAAUACAGUCAACUGGAGUUUAGAGUUUAAACAUUUGAAUCUAGGGGAACACAAACAUUCAGUCUGUGAUGGAAACCAGGUCUAGGAAUAUUGGUAAAGAUAAUAUUGCUAUUGCUACCAUCUUAUUUAAGAUUAUUUCUGUCUCUUGCUUGAAUAAUGUGAAAGUUUAUAAAGUGAUCUACAAUCUUUAUUUCUUCCAUUCUGUCCUCAUAAGUGCCUUGGAUUGAUCAUAAUAUUUAAACUUGAUAAUUUACUUCCAUGCCAAACAUUUCAAUGGUUCUUCUCAAUGAGGUACAAAUUGCAUAGUGUGGUACAUAAAGGCCUUCAUCAUCAGUCUGUUUUUUUUGCUUAACUGUAUGGCCUAACACAUAGAAUGCCCCUCAUGCAACAUAUGACAAAAUUCUAUUGAUAAAAGAAUAAUUCCUCAAAGUACCUUGGUUUUAUUUCUUUGUGUUUUGUCUUUGGAAAACCUCUUUAUUUAAAGAUGUCUACAUGUCAUUAUGUUCUUAGGUCAUGUGUCACAUCUAUGAAGUCUCAUCUCUUGUUCCUAUAGAGCUUGAUAGUUUUUUUUCUUUCUCUAACUUUUUAAUUUCUUAAUUUUUAAUAUUUUAAAAUAUGUAUAGCAUCUCAUUCCAUCACCUAGACUGGGGUGCAGUGGUACAAUCAUAGCUUGCUCUGGUCUUGAACAUCUGGGCUCAAGUGAUCUGCCGAGAUCGACUUGGUCGGGGAGACCCUAACCCAGUGGUGCUAGAGGAAUUAAAGACACACACACAGAAAUAUAGAGGUGUGAAGUGGGAAAUCAGGGCUCUCACAGCCUUCAGAGCUGACAGCCCCGAACAGAGAUUUAGCCACGUAUUUAUUAACAGCAAGCCAGUCAUUAGCAUUGCUUCUAUAGAUAUUAAAUUAACUAAAAGUAUCCCUUAUGGGAAAUGAAGGGAUGGGCCGAAUUAAAGGAAUAGGUUGGGCUAGUUAACUGCAGCAGGAGCGUGUCCUUAAGGCACAAAUUGCUCAUGCAAUUGUCUGUGGCUUAAGAAUGCCUUUAAGCAGUUUUCCACCCUGGGCAGGCCAGGUGUUCCUUGCCCUCAUUCCGGUAAACCCACAACCUUCCAGCAUGGGCGUUAUGGCCAUCAUGAACAUGUCACAGUGCUGCAGAGAUUUUGUUUAUGGCCAGUUUUGGGGCCAGUUUAUGGCCAGAUUUUGGGGGGCUUGUUCCCAACAGUGAUCCUCCUGCCUCAGCCUCCUAAGUAGCUAAGACCACAGGCAUGCUCCACCUCUCCUGACUACAUUUUGUUUUUUGGAGAGACAGGGUCUCACUAUGUUGCCCUAGCUGGUAUAGAACUCUUGAGCUCAAGUAAUCCUCCUGCCUUGGACUCCAAAAAUGCUGGGAUUAUAGGCAUGAGUCACCACACCUGUCCCACCUGUUUGCCACUUUUCUUUGAAGACCUAUUUCAUAUAUGCAUCUUUCAUAGCAUCUGAAGUAUUGUAUCACACUUUUAAUAUCCUUGUUAUUUUAUUAGACUAUGUUCCUUAAAGACUGAGGCAUGUCUACUUCAUUUUGUUAUUUAUAGCAUCCUGCACAGUGUCUGACACUUAUUAAACAUUUGCUGAAUUGGUGAUGAAAUUAAUUAAUUUAGGGGAGCUUACUUAGUUCCAACUGCUAUCCUAAGUGACUAUAUAGAUAGAUAUGGAGUGAAUAUUAUAUAAAUAUUAAACAAAAGUUCUCUGCCUUCAAGGUGGUUAUUGUUUAGUGGAGAAGAGGGCAUGUAUAUGAGUAAAUAGAGUAACAGUAAAAAGUAGUUUGCUAUAUAGAACAUGUUACGGUAUUUGAAAGGAAAGAGAAAUUACUCAAGAUGUUUCUUAGGACUGUCAGGUUUUACAUGGUGUUAUAAAGAUGAAGUUACACACUUCACUAUUAAAAAAUUCCUGUUCAAAAGAAAACAAAAUAAUAAAGUACAGAAAUCAAACUAACUCUUCCACAAGACUAAUAAGUACCUGUAACUGUGAAAACAGAGAGAGGGAGGGAGGGAGAGAGAGAGAGAGAGAGAGAGAGAGAAAGAGAGAAACAGAGAGAAACAGAGACAGUUACAGAAAUGAUCAAAGAAUUAUAGAUACAGUGAAAACAUAGUAAAGAUGCAACAACUACCAAAUAUAGUCAUGUAGUCUAACAAAGUUCUUCUUGUUAAUCAUUGUAGCAAGGCAGUGUAUGCACACAACUGGAAAGACUGGAGCAACUCAGAAUGGAAUGAGGUGUGUGUGGGGGUACUUGUUAUAGAAUUUGGGCUCAUGUUCAGUGAUUUUAGAGAGGGUUCCUGGAGGCUCAAUUGUUCUGGGUUUUGGUACUAUAGGAUAAUAAUGUAUCUUAAUUUUUUAUUUAGGGGGUGGAAGAAAGGAAGGUGAGGCCACAGUUAUCAUUAGUAGUGAAGCAGUUGUCACUCAAUUUACCCAGGAGAGAGAGCUUUUUGGCUUUUUUGUCUUGUUUUGGGAAGGAUCAGCAUUCAUUUCUUGUGGUUGCUGCAACAGAUUUGUUAGUUCAAACCAACAGAAAUUUAUUUUCCUACAGUUCUGGUAGCCACAAAUCCAAAAUCAGUUUCACUCAGCUAAAAUCUAGAUGUCAGUAGAAUUGUGCUUCCUCUCUCCAGAGGCUCUGCCUCUUCUAAUUUAUGGUGGCUACUGGCAGUCCUUGGCUUGUGGCCACAACACUCAAAUAUCUACCAAAUAUCAUCUUCACACUGCCUUCUCCUCUGUGUUCCUGUGUCAAAUCUCCUCUAUCUCUCUUAUACAAAUACACGAGAUGACAUUUUAGACUCAUCUGGAUAGUCCAUGAUAAUUUUCUCAUCUCAAGAUCCUUAUCUUAAUCUCAUCUGCAAAGACCUUUUUUCUUUUCCAAAUAAAGUAACAUUUACAGGUUAUAGGGAUUAGAAUAAGAAGGUACUAUUUAGUCCACUAGAGUGUCCUUUUGUUUUCUUGGCAUUCAGAUAUAAUUAUGAAAUAGUAUUGUUUUUAUCUUUCUCUAUCACAGUCAUUGUCAUGGCCAUUUUUUAUGUUGCAUGGGGAAGACCAUAUUUAGUUCUCUGUUACUAGCUGUCAGUUAUAGAACCAGUUUUUUUCAUUCUCAGGACAGAACACAGGACUGAUAAAUUCAAGCACAAUGAAAUAAAAGAGAACAUAUAUUUAAGACAAUAAAAGAGAUUAAGAUCAAAGGAAAAUAUACAAUGACCAUCUAAUAGGAAAAAUCGGUAUCUCUGAACAAGUAACAAAAUAAGAAAAAAAAGUAUUGGAAGUUAUAACUCAAGACAAAUAUGCAAGAAUAAAAUAAGACUUGAAUCAAAAAAUACUAAGAAAAUAAUUGGCAUCCAGUGGUCAAUGCCAAAAUUUUAUUGGACACUACAGAUAAAAAAUGAGGUAUACAUAAAAAAUAUGCAAAGUCACUUAUAAAUGAAAAUGUCAAGCUGAACUUAUACUUUCUAAGAAUAAUUUUCAAAGAUAGAGAAAAGUGGACAAAUACUUAUAUAGUCCUGUAGGAACUACAGUGCAAUUCAAGAAUGUUUAAAUGCAGCAAAAAUAAAAUUUGAACAGGAAAACAUUCAGAUAAUAUAGUAUUAUGAUGGUUUAUUUUAUAUGUCACUUGACUGGGCCACAGGAUGCCCCAAUAUUUAGACUAACAUAAUUCUGGGUGUUUCUGUUUGGGUAAUUUUGAAUGAGAUUAAUAUUUAUUUUAUUAAAAGAGCUAUUUUUAAAAAAUUUGGAAAAUAGAGCUUUAUUUCCCUUAAAGGGUUACAGCCUGCAGCGUGGCCAUUCUGACAGGCUGGAAAGCAUAGCCUCCAGUCAGAAAACAGAAACAGACACUUCAAUAAAGGGGCAAAGGGAUUGGGAAUUUAUCUCAGAAUGGGGUGCCCAAAUAUACAUAUGUAAUAAGCUACAGGAGAAGUCGUGAAUAUUUAUGAAAAAGGAAAGGUUCAUAUGCAAUUGAGCUUCAUGCCCCUUCAUGGGUCCCAUGUACAAAAAAUGGUAGUUAGCAUGAUCCCAGCAUGGAGUUUUGGACUCUCUGAUGUCAAAAGAUUAAGCAGAGGCAUGAAAAUCCUUAUUGUGCAUUCUCCAUAGACUGGCCAGAACCACUCUGUGUCUAGUAGUCUUUUAUCAGGCAAAAAUGCUGUGCAGUUGUAACAAAAGAGAGGAGCAGCAUCAGGUAGUUGGUUGAAAUCAGCAGUGCAGAAAGUCUUUUGAAAGGGCUGGUUUCUGUUUAGUCCUUAGAGAAGAAAGUCUAAUGGCAGUUAGUGAGGGAGAGGGUAUAAUGAGGCAUGCCUGACCUCCUAUCUUAUCAUGGCUGAGAACUUAGUUUUCAAAAUUUCUCUGGGGUCCCUUUGGCCAAGGGAAGGCUUUUUCAGUCAGUUGGAGGGCUUAAUUUUAUUAAUAUUUUCAUUUGUCAUUUUCCUCCUAUUGGCCUGGAUUUGUUAGAGGCAGCAUCAAUGACCAAACUUGUAUUUUGUCCCAUAUUUUGGUUGAGGUAGUGUGGCUACCUUCCCUGGGUCCAUCCUGUUCCUCAGUGGGACCCAUAUGGCCACGAGAUUUAGAGUCAAAAGACUUACAACCAAUUAAAUGUUCCAGACCCAGCAGGAAGGAAGUGAGCAGGCACCAAUCAACCCUUAAAAUCUGUUAAGCAACAUAGCAGCCAAAACCCAAAGUCAAAAAGCAAGGUUACAAGAUUGAGUUACCUAUAAAUUCUAUGCAGUAACCUACUGUAGUCUUGGUCUUAGGUAUAUACUUGAAGCAAUUAACUAUAUAAAACAUAAGAAUUUUGCUAAAACUAUUUAAGCUGAGGAAUUUUAGAGACUUCUGUUAUGCCUCAAUGCUUUCUGCAAUCUCUUUAUUAAUUUGACCUAAGGUAGAAAAUAAAUUUUUUCAUCCUAGCCCUAUUUGCAUAAGAGAUUAACAUUUAAAUUAAUCGACUGAAUGAGGCAAAUUGUCCUCUACAAUGUGGGUGUGUCUCUUCGUAUCAAAGGCCUAAGUAGAAUAAAAAUUUGACCCACCUCCUAGUAAGAGAGAAUUCUCCUGUCUGAACGCCUUUGCACCAGAAUGUCAGCUUCUCCUGGUUCUACAGCAACCUUCAUACUUAAAUGGGACAUGAGCUCUACAGAUCUUAGACUUGCCAUCUACCAUAAUCAUGUGAGCCAAUUUCCUGUACUUACUUACUUUCUUUCUUUUCUUUUCUUUUUUCUUUCUUUCUUUCUUUCUUUCUUUCUUUCUUUCUUUCUUUCUUUCUUUCUUUCUUUCUUUCUUUCUUUCUCUUUCCUUCUUUCUUUCUUUCCUCUUUCCUUCUUUCUUUCUUUCCUCUUUCUUUCUUUCUUUCUUUCUUUCCUCUUUCUUUCUCUUUCUUUCUUUCUUUCAUUCAUUCUUUUGUCUAUUUUUCUAGGGAAUCCUAACGAAUACAUAAAGAUUCCAUAAUCCUGUCUUAAAUUAGCAGGAGAGGUUCAGGCAGGAAAUGGCUUGAGAAACUACACUGAAGGGUCUGAGGGUGAUAAUCUAACUCACUUAACUAUAGGACAAGGCUAAAACUUAAUAUAAGUAUUAUGGUUAUAAUAUAGUUGCAUAUUUUAACGUGUGUGCUGAGUAAAAAAGAUAAAAAGGACAAAAAUCAACAGGAGGAGAAAGAGAACCAGGGAGACAGUGUAAAUAUGCUAAUUUCUCCAUGUUUUAGAAGGAGAAACUAGAAGAUAUGUAUUAAAACUCACACAACAAAUUAUAGAAAUUUAUCUGUAUUUAUAGUAUAACCACUAAAAUAAAAAAUAAACUAAAACUGAGUGGUAGAGAGAAUGAGAAUAUGUAGAUGUGGAAAUAUAUGAAUUUUAUCUUUGUUCUUAGUAAAUUAAUAUAUAUUACUAAAAUAACAAAAUAAUAUAUUCUAAAAGUUAUACUUAAAUGUAGCCACUGGAACAAAAAUAUAAAUAUAUCAACAGAAACACAGAAUAUGUCAAACAUUUAGUGGAAGAUUUUUAAAAAAUCAAUAAAAAAUGAAGUAUAACAUAAAAUAUGAUGACAGAACUGAAACCGAAUAUAUGUUAUACUUAUAAAUAGAAAUUGGUGAAAUAAAUCUAUUUAAAACAUACUAUUAUAAUGAAACACAAAGCAAAACCCAAUUAAUAUGCUAAAAGAAGAUAAAUACCUAAAACAAAAUUAUCUACAAUGUUAAUUUUAAAAAAUUGUCUCAGAGCAAGACCGACUCUCUGCAUGCCAUUAUUUGCAGAAUUCAAAAGAAGGCCCUGUUUUAGGAGUAAGGACCCCCUAUUUGAUACCUGCAGGACCACAAAUCUCAACUAGCAUCAUUAACCCCAGAAGGCUUGACAUACCUGCCAAACUCUUGUUACAUUUCCUAGCUUCCAUCCUCAUAGCCAUGUCACCUCUAUCUAGCUUUGAAUCACCAGGACUAUUUUGUUGUACCAUUAGUCACCCCUAUUUAUGUUAGCUCCAGGCAGUGGUAUGCUGGUAAAUGCUUCAUAAUAAGCCCUCUGAAAUAGUGUGUGUGUAUGUGUGUGUGUGUGUGUGUGUGUGUGUAUAUAUAUAUAUAUAUAUAUAUAUACAUCUAUAUAUACAUAUACAUAUAUACAUACUUAUAUAUAUACACAUAUGUGUGUAUAUAUAUCUGAUAUAUAAUCUCUCUGAAAUAGUGUAUAUACUUUAUUAUAUAUACACAUAUGUGUGUGUAUAUAUAUCUGAUAUAUAGAUAUCAGAGUUUAUAAAAAUUUUACUAAUAAGAAAGAGAUGCAAUACACAAUUUAAAAAUAAUUAUAAAAACACAAUACUUUUUAAGUUCCACAUACUUAAUUGAUUUUCAUAGAAUGCUUUUGUCAAUUAUUGCCAAAUGCUUUCAUAUAGCCUAUCUCUGUUUGACAUUCAAACAUGAUUUCACAAAUGGAAUUGCUUCCCAAUCCUUUAACUCAUUAUCCAAUAAAUUUAUUUUCUUUGUAUUUCAUAUGUGUUCUACUGUUAAACUAAUUCUCACCCUCAAAAAUAUUAUGUUGAUUAAACUGAAACCUCUUUCACUUCAGCACUAUACAAGACACCUGUAUUAAAUUUUACUCCAUAUUUUUAUAAGUCUAGAAAAUCAACAAAACAAUGAAUAAAGCCUUAUCUGUUGCAUUUAUCAAUUUCUUGCUAUUGUCUGUUUUAAUCAACCAAACCGACAUCACUGAACACAGAGUUUGGAAGAAGUGUGCAGUAGCUCACCACUGUAUAAUAUUCCUAUCAUACAGAUCAAAUAGAUGUAAAUAACCCUCAAGAGUAUAGAUAACAGUAAAAUGUAGUAACAUUAUUGGAAAGUAAUUACUUUUGAAUAUUCUUUCUCCUCUUAACAUGGUUUAUUUAAUUAUAAGUUUACAUAAGUUAACAUUGAAUAAUGACCACAUUUAGUAACUGGUUCAUGAGAUUCCUGAAAAUUUCACACUUGGCUCUUGUGAGCUGCUAGAGUAUGAGUCUUUUAUGAGCUGACUCCAGCUCGCCACUGAACUCCAAAGUUGCUCCUCAAACUUAGGCACUCAUUCCCAUAUGGCUCUUGUAUGUAAUCUUUUCUGAUCCAUCCUGUAUCCUGACCCAUUGCUUAACUCUCAUUCUGCCAUCUGAAACUCAAGAUAAGUCAUCAGCAAAAUUUCCUGUAUCACCAAUCACUUUGGGAUAGUAUUUUAAAAAAUUCAUUCUCUGACACCCAGCAUUUUCAUGAUGCCAUUGUUUGUCCUGCAGCUCUCAAGUGGUGAAUCAUUUUCUCCUAUAGUCCUUCUGUUACUGGGUCUAAACAUAUGGUAGGUAACUGCUCUUUAUUGUGACUUCCAUAACAUAUUUUCAUCUUCCUGAAAUGUUCAGCUUUAAAUCUCAUAUCAUCAAACUACACCUAAACAAUCUCACUUGUAAAUCCCAAGGCACUCCCAAUAAUUUCUUGAAAAUAAUAGUUCCCAAUUCACUGUCCUUCUUCAACGUGGAAGGAACACACAAAUAUGCUGUCUAGUUGUAUGAUUCAUGACCAUAAAUUUCAAGUGAAGUUGUAAUGUUACUUGGAAAUCAGACUAUAAUUUCCCAGAUUAUUAAUUCUACCAUUCUCCAAGAGGCCUGCUUCUCACCUUUACCUCCUCAAACUUCCAACACUAUCUCCCCCAUGUUUACUCUCUGCUAAUGACCAUGCUUCCUACCUAGAAGGCAGAGGAAAAGGAGGAGAAUAAGGAGGAGGAAAAGAAGAAGAAAGUAAAAGAAUCAGAAAGUAUCUCCUAUAAGCUGCCAGCACCAAAACUGCCCGUCUACCUGUGUCUGUAUUCCUGCUCUUACCAGAGACGAAUUUUUCCUGUUCCUAUCUACGGUUUAAAGUUAAACACUCCACUUGUGUACUGGAUCUCAUCCUGUCUUGCCUACUCAAGAUCAUUACCCCAAGAAUUUUCUUCUCUUUCUGUCCUACAUCAUUAAUUUUUCCUUUCAUUUUGAGUCAUUCCAAUAAACAUAUAAACGUAAUGAUAUUUCUUCCUUCUGAAAAACUUUAUAAAUUAUUUUACUUUGCCUCCAAUUAUGGUUCAAUUUCCCUCUUGUCCAUUACAGAAAAAAUUUUUGAAAGAAUUUUGUCUGUUUACAGAGUUUUAUUUCCUCCUUACUCUCACUAAUCUCUUGAACACACUUAAGUCAGGAAAUGACCUUCAUAUCUCUAUAAAUUACUCUUAUUAGGGAUACCAAUGGCUCCUAUAUUGACAAUUCCUAUGGAAAAUUCACAGUCCUCCUUUUACUUGACCUUUCAGUAGCUCUUGACACAAUUGGUAAUUCUUUCUUGGCUUUGAUAAUACUGACCUCAUUUCCCUGCUAUUUUUUUUUUUUUUUUUUUUUUUUGGUCAACUAUUCUGUGUCUCCUUUGCUUGUUAUGCUUGCUUUCAUCUUCCUCAUUUAUUACUUCUGGAGUGUUCAGGGCUUUGUUGCAAACUUAGUCUUUCGAUCUAUUCUCACUCUCUAUGUGAUCUUAUCCAGUCUUAAGAUUUUAAAUAUUAUCUAUGCUGAUCCUAACCAAAAUUUUGUUACUAGCUCAGGGUUAAUACCUUGAACCUUAAAUGUGGCUUAUGAUCUUUGGGUAUCAAAAGGCAAAUAAGGUUUAUCAUCUUUUACACUAAGCUGCUGAUAUUGAUCCUCCCUCACCCAAACUUAUAUCUCCCAUAUCCUUUCCCUAUUCAGGUGACAGUUGCUCAUACCCUAAAGCUUGGUCAUUUUUUACUCCUCUUUUCUUCUCAUACUUCAACUCCAUUGGCCAAAUUCACCUUUAGCUCUACUUUCACAAUAUUGCUAAAAUAAAAUUUCUUCUCAUUACUUCCAGUGCUACCACUUUGGUCUAAAGGCAUCAUCCUGAACUAUUGUAGAAGACUCUCCUUAACUAUUCUAUAUUCUCUACCCUUGAUCCAUUUCCUUCUAUUCUGAACAUAGCUACUAUUAAAGAUAAAUUAUUCACCAGAUACAUGUUGAAAACACCAAGACAGAUCUUAUUCUGAAAUAAUAAGAGUUGAAAUUUGAAAUUACUCCAUCUAUGCAGAAUAAAGUUUGAAUAAACUUCAAACUUUCUUCUGAAGUUUCCUCAGCCUUCAUAGAAUUGAAGAGUUAGGGCCUUGCUCUAGAUUAGGCUUUGGCUUAAGAGAAUAUUGUGACUGGUUUGAUAAUCUGUUCAUACCACUAAAACUUUCUCCAUAUCAACAAUAAGACUGUUCUACUUUUUUCAUUCACGUGUUCACUGGAGUAACUCUCUUAUUUUCCUUCAAGAACUUUUCCUUUGCCUUCAUAACUUGCCUAACUCUUCAGCACAAAAGGCCUAGCUUUCAGCCUAUCUUGGCUUUGAUAUGUCUCUCUAGAGCUAGAAAAGCUAGCUUUGAAAAGCUAGAAAUUAUUAAGCUUAAUCUAUUUCUAGCUUUUGAUUUAAAGUGAAAGAUGUGAGAUGCUUCCUUUUACUUGACCAUUUAGAGGAUAUUAUAGGGUUAUUAAUUGCCUUAAUUUAAAUAUGGUUGUGUUACAGGGAAUAGGGAGGGCCAAAAAGAGAAAGAGAAACAUGGGAAUGACUGGCUGAUAGAGCAGUCAGAACACACAAAAUGUUUAUCAAUUAAGUUUGCUAUCUUACAUGAACAGUGUGUGGCAUUCCAAAACAACUACAAUAGUAACAUCAAAUAUCAUUUAUCACAGAUCUCCAUAACAGAUACAACAAUAGUGAAAAUGUAUGAAAAAAUUGCGAGAAUUUCCAUCAUGUGACACAGAGACAUGAAAUGAGCACAUACUAUUGGAAAAAUGAUGCAAUAGACUUGCUCAAUGCAUUGUUGCUACAACCUGUCAAUUUGUAACAACCACAAUAUCUGUGAAAUACAAUAAAGUAAAGCACUAUAACAUGAGGUAUUCCUGUAUAAACAUGUGCCAUUUAAUAGAGAGAGAAAAAAAAGCCACGUGAGGCUCAUGCUCAUUCCACUGUGUGUAAAUUGGUUAUCUUAGUCCUGCUAUUGAAAUCAGAGUUUACAAGGAACCACAGGAUAUGCCAUGUAUUUGUGUAAUUUCUAGAGUAUAUUAUAGAGGCACAUUGUAGUACAAUUACACUGUAGGUGUGAAUGUCUUGGUUUUGCAUAUUCGAACAAUAUUUUAGAUUAUUACCCUUUUUAUUUCCUUUACAAUAUUUCAACCUACAGUCCUUUUGAUUUGGGAUAAUUUUCCUAUAUUAAAUGUCUUUAAUUCAGUUAGUAUAUUAUAAUUUAUGAAUCCAGAGACUAGAAUUUUAAAAGAAGAUCAUUGGAAAUUUCACAAAGUAGAUACAUUGUAGGUAGAAAAUUGAGUUAUUUUUGUUACUACUUUCUGUAAACCAUGAGAUACAAUAAAACAAAGGUUAGAUAAUGGUAUAAGAUUUAUAAUUGUGUAUCCAAUCAAGCCCAGAUUUCAAUGGAGGAAUUAUAAGCAGGAGAUUUGAACACAUUACGUUGCCAGAACUUUCUCCUUGGUACAUUAGUCAUAGAGUUCUUUAGCUAGAUAUAAGAGAAUACCUGUAGUUUAGCAAUAUUCUGUCAUAGCAUAUAUUAAUACUUCAUUACAUUUUCAAAUUGUCAUUUUAAACAGUAUUUUCACAGGACAUAAUUUAUACUUCGUAUUACUUUAUGAGAUUAUGCACUCAUAUCAGCUUUUCAGAAACAGAACAUUUCUACCUACAAGAAUAUGAAGUACUUUUGAUUUUUUUUCAAAGUUCAGAGAACAUUUUUUCUCAUUAGAUGUUCUCCAAUUUAACUUUGACAUGCUUUCAAUUUUCUUUGCAUGCUGAGAAGGAUCAAAGCCAAUCUUUUUAUCACUCUGGUAUGUGUCCUGAGUUUCUGUUCCUAAAAAAGUAAAAUUCCCUUAAAAUAAAAUGUCACAAUGAAGUUGGUUAAAAUUAUUGAGUUUUAAUUUUAAGGCAACUAAUUUUCAAUAAAGCCUUCUACAAUUUUUUUUCUUACUUUUUCUAGGUUUCUCUCUGCUGAAACAUAAUAGAAACCUUGCCAUUUGUAUGUACAUAUUUUAAAUUAACCUAUAUUGUAUUUCUGUAAAAAAAUGACCUUUUAGUCUUUUUAUACUAUUCAAAUUCUUAAUUUUUAAAAAAGUUUACAAAGUACCUUUACUUUAGUUUUAAUAGAGCAAAUAUUUUCUCCGAUUCGUGGUUGUCUAUACCCUUUCAUGAUGAUGUACUUUGAAGUCCAAAGCAUUUUAAUUUUGAUAAAGUUCAAUUUACCUCUCUUUUUAUUUUGUAGCUUGUCUUUUUUGUGUUGUUUCUAACAACACAUCAUUGUUGAAUCCAAAGUUAUGAAAUUUACUCUUCUGCUUCCUUUUAUGAGUUUUUAUAGUUUUAGCACUUAAGUUUAGCCUCUGAUCCAUUUUGAUUUAGUUUUAUGUAUCAAGUGUGCUUGGAGACCAUCUUCAUUCUUUUGCAUGUGGAUAUGCAAUUGUGUCAGAACCGUUUGUUCUGAACUGAAUGGUGUUGGUACAUUAAAAAUGAAAAAAAAAAUCCCUGCACUUUCUCUUUCUAGUCUUUCAAUUGUAAACAUUGACUUAUUCUGAAUAUAUCUCAAUGAAACUGAAAUAUGUGAUUCAUAUGCUGCUUCAAAACCACUUUACUCCUUAACAUAUUAUUUUGUCUUUGCAAUAUAAUAGCAAUUUUAUAUAAUACAUAUAGAUAGGAUUGUUUUGAUAGUGACAAAUUCAGAAUCAGUAAGUCAUAUUUAUAAAGGAAAGAUAAGUGAAUAGUGAUGGAAUAGACUGAAGUGCAUUUAUUUUUUGUGUUGUAAUUGCUUUGCUAAGUAAUCAGUUACAAAGUUUUUGAAUUAACUAUAGAAAUAUUAAAAAAAACUGUUCUUUUGGGGAUCAUCUUUUGGGGAUUAAUCACAAGUUGCAUCAUUUAUCAGUUUGAUUUUUAAAAAGUUGCUGCUAAGCGGAGACAAUAAAAUAAUUUAUCUUAGUAGAUAUGAGAAAUAUUAUAAACUUACCUGAAUUUAGAAAUAGUUUCUAAGGUAGAAAGAAAAAAUACCUACCCCUGAAUUUCAUUUUGUUAUUUAUUCAUCCAGUUUUAUGACUAUAUCAGUUGAUAAACUAGAGAAAUUAACAAUCUCUAGUUUUCUUUGUGAGAAGCAGAACCAGAUGAGUCCCCCUUUGACUGUCACUAUAUGCUCACAACUGCCAAAUAGAGUGGUGUUUUCUCAGACUUUAUUUCAGGCUGGGUUCCUGAGAUAAGAGACUCCAAAAUGGAAAUUUGUUUGUAUGACUUUACUGAGUAGUUCUCCAGGGAAUGAUCUCUAUUAGGAAGUAAGGAAGGUAAGAUUAGGCAGAGGAAUAAGUUUAACUGCUAUACUGUUACUACAAAGGCCUCAGCCAAUUUCAUAGCAAGCUCUGAAGCAGGAGCCAGGGUUUGUACUCACUUAUUAGCAAGUCCUCGGAUGUGAGAUGCCUUUGCAGAAGGGGCAUAACCUUGGGCAAGGCAGCAAUCUUUGGGCAAGGACAAUUCUUUGGGGAUGCUGUUAGGUAUGAGCCAUUGGAAAGCAAUCCUUCUAGCAGCUAGGUGAAUUAGGACCUUGCUUCUAAGGGAUACCAAGCAGCAUACCAUCUCAGCAACAUACAUUUCCAAUCCCCCUUUGCGCUACUCAGAUCUAUAUAUUAACUUCAUUCUUUCUGGAAAUAUCUCCUUUAUCAUUCUGGUUUCUUACAGAAACAUACAGAAAUAAUAUUAGUGGGAGUAACUAUAGCCCUGUCACUGCCAAGUGAUUUCUGGGCCAUGAUGACACAUAUUAUCGUCUUCCACUACUACUUUCCGUAUGUGAACAGCUCUGCUGGUGUAUUUGUCUUACUUAGUGGGGUAAUACAUAGCCUCAUCCUUAAAAGCUUUGAGCUACCAUGCAUUUGUGUUGUGUUAUAGGCUAUAGCAAGAUCCGUAAUUCUAGAAAGAAUCUGCAAUUGAGAAUGCUUCUUGGAUGAAUUUGUGAUAAUCCAUUGUUAUCCUUCAGGAUCUCUCUGGGCUUUUGUUGUAGACAAAUUCAUGAAUUUAUUGGGAAUAAAAAUGGGGGCUACUACCACUGCACCCUUUUAGAUCUUUAAGAGUUGCAUUAAUUUCUGCUAUUUUCUCCAGGAAGUGAUAUUGUUUUUGGCUUACUGACUUGACAGGUGAGCAGUUUCAAAGCUGCAGAUUGGCCUUCUGUACUAUGAGAGAACUUACCCCAUAAUCCAGGUAACAAUAUGGGGAUUCUGCCAAGCACUAAGUAUGUCUAUUUCAAUUACACAUUUGUAAAUUGAUUAAAAGUCUAUUGGGUGAGUCCUAAGACCUGGUGGUUCCACUCUGUACUGAUCCUGGCUCAGGAUUACCUUUAGUACUUGCCCACCAAAAGUUUCCGUUGUAACUGAAAUUUGUGUUCUAGAUAUUAAUGUUGACUUGGACUCCAACAGUCCUUAGGAUCUUUAAAUACUCUUAGUACAUUUCUUCUUAGUAAAUUUACCCUUUGAAGAAGACUGGGGAAAUAUUUAUCAAAUACUCUUUUUUACAGUUUUGUAAGAUUCUUCCUACUUUGGGACUUGAAAGCUAGCUCAGAUGCAGAAAUUAGGCAAGGAAUAGUGACUUCUUUUGUGGUGGCUACACUAAGCCUUUGAUCUUUCAUCCUGCAUUUAUUUUGGUUGUACACAGUGAAAAUUACAUCUGUUGAUUUUCAUCUACAUUUUCUCUAGAGAUGCUAUGUUCUAUUAACUGUCUCCAUGAUGCCGUACCAAUAAGGUCCCCUUGUUGCUAUUCAAAACUUUGGUGCUAUUAUGGUAAUUAUGCCCAACUUGUUUAUGAAUUUUAGGUACUGUCACCUGAUUUCUGUUAUUUCAGGAGUUUAUUCCUUCCACUGCUUUCAGAUAGGCUAGUCUGGUAACAGCAUCUUUCAUAGUCAUCCCUUGUCCAAAGAGUACACAACUGACUUUCUUGACAGUACUGAUGACUUUCUCACCAGCACAUUCUUUAUUACUUUGAUAAACAAGUUUUUUCUUGAAUUUCUAAUUCUCUUGAACAACAUAACCAUCUGAUCAGGUUUCCAGUCUUAUGUAGUUUAUCCUCUUCUCUGAGUCUUUUCAUGCAUUCUUCUACCAUCUCCUAUGACUACACUGGCAUUUCCAAUUCACCUGUGGACCAUUACUUUGUCCAACCUUCCAAGAUCCAUCCUAGCUGCAUGCUAGCACUUUUCAGGAUGUUUACAUUUGUAUCAUGGAAGAGUGCUUUGACAUCAGUAGACUCUCCCUAAUCAGGUUUUUAGAGCCUUAUGUUGUAUUCUCCUUGAUCCAGCACUCUCAGGAUCCAGUCCCACACAUGCUCUGCCAGCUUCUUCUGGUACAUUUUGGCUGGAUCCUUCAGUUCCUCUGAUAUAUAAUUCCUUACCUCCUUCAGAAAGUCUAGCACUCCCAUGGAUUGGUUAAUUUGUGACUUCAUUCUCUUAUUUCUGUGGUGGCCAGGAGAGUAGGGAUGGGGGGAGAGUCUAAGAACGUGCAGCAUUGAAUAUCAGAUCUUUUUCUAUGACACUAAAGAGGUAUGCUAGCUUUCACACUCUGUCCUACAUAGGUAAGUAAUUACCCUCUGCCACUCACUGACUUCCUUUGGAGCCUCCAUGACAUUUAGCAAUCAUCAUAUUCUGACUCUAUUAAAUAGUGUAUACAAGAAAUAUGAAUAGGUCAGGUAUUUAAAUUGUAGCCAGUCUUAUACAGCUAAGGCAUAAGCAGAUAACAAAAGCUCUGUUACAGUUGAGGAUUAAACCCAAAAUUUGACUACUACUUAUAGAAUUUAAAUGUCAUUGAAAUCAUCUUAAUUUGAAAAGAGUGGUUGUUUAUUUCAAUGAAAUAGACUCUUGAUCUAGAUAAGGUAUUACUUCUUUGGGUUACCAUGCUUCUUCCAGCUACUUGAUAACUUAUAAAAUAUUUAUUCACUAUCAUGUUGCCUCAUACAGCUUUGCUUCUGAACAUGGUUGUUAUAGCAAAGUACACCAAAUAAUGAGCUUAUGCUAACAGAAUUCACUGGUCCUGCCUUAUACUCUAUCACUUAAAAGCAGCUGGCAUUGCAUAACAUAAGAGUGGCCAACUGAAGAUAUUUAUUAUGCCAUUCAGAGACAGCAUCCUGCAAAGUUGGGCUUCUGUCCUACGGGUUGUAGUAUUUGUAUUCGACUAGAUAAAUUUGACUGGAUAAAUCUAGUCAGAAUAUAUGGGUCUGGAAUCAAGGGUUGGAAGUGGGAGAGAUUCAUUUUACUGUUUCACUUAUUAAACCACUUGAACAAUUUUAUUCCCUUUCUUGAAGCUUGAUUAAUAGUGAUAUUUUGCAAGGGAUGAAUGCUUUUAUCAGGGAACACGACAAUGGUUGGCAUGAACUUGAAGGUAUAUGGCUCUCUGGCUAUUUGGGGUUCUCAUGUCACUGAAUCCACAAAGUAAGGAGUGAUUAAAUGAACUGAAGUGGAAGUUAGGUCUCUGCUACAUAAUGCAAGCAGGGAAAGCCAUGACUAGAACUCAAGGCAUUCUUUUAUGUACCACUUAAUGUUUCCAUAUUCAGUAGUAAAAUUAGUGAAAGACAAAAUGAUUUGGCAGUAUCUACCAAUACAAAACGUGUGCAUUUCCUAGAAUCCAGCAAUUCUACUUCUUAUUCUGUGUUGAAGUCAGUCAAGAAAUUUCCAUCAUUAUGAAGACAAGGGAAAAAGUCUCUUCCUCAUUCACACAUGAAAUAUGGUAAUAUAAAAAUCUAUGUUUUCUCAGAGAUAUUCUCAAGCUUGGUUAGACUACUUAAUUUACUAAGUGAUGAAAGUAUAAUGUUAUUAUACCAAAAUUUAUAACCUUAGUGUGGCAUAAUUUUUCAUUCCCAAUCGACAUUCAUUUGUCAAUGUCAAGGAUAAAUUUAUAGGAAAUUAAGUAAGGUAUGUCUUUUGAAUUUGUGAUGUACAUAUUAACAGUAGAUUAAGUUGAAAUAAUAAAAUCUGUAUUGUUUAUGAUUUAUCAGUUAUAUGAUGAGUAGAAUAUAGUCUAUUGUGGCCAGUGUGUAUAUAUAACAUAAACAAUACAUUAACCCAAUUUUGUGUGAAAAUUAUUUUGGGACCUAGUAGCUUUCUUGGUCACAACCUUUCAAACAAACAAAUUUUUUUUAAAUUAAUUUUUUCCCUUAAUAAAGAAAACAAUUCCUCAAUGUGUAAUAGCAAAUACCUUUUAACAGGUCAUAUAUCAUCAAUGCUUUCUUUGAAAAAGUACUGAUGCUUACAAGUUGCUUUACGAGUAAAGAUGCUUACAAAUCUUUUCUUUCAAGUAGCUCAUCCUCUGAUCAUUAUUCUGUUGUUUGAUAUCUACUCCCUAGCAUUUAUCCAUGACACAUAUUAUUUGAUUGUAUUUAAUAGUUUAUUGGCAAAUACUGUUGGUUUCCUUAUAACUUUUUUUCCCAUUGCAUUUUCAUUGCAAAACCUGUACCUUGUUUAAAUUCAGUAGUUCACUUUUACUGAGCCUACCAACAAGCAACAAAACAUGGUUGGAGAAAAACACAUUAUGAUAACUGGUCAUACCUUAAUUUAUGACCAAGAAUGAGUGGUCAUAUUAUGGCAAUCCUACCACAGAUCUUUAUUUUCUUCCCAGUCUCUAAGAAGCUUUACGUUUAAACAUUCUUUCCUUGCCACAAAAUUCUAAUGAGUGUCUUGCCUUCCUCAGUCUCAGCUGAUGACUCUGCUUUAUAGUGUAGAAAAAAGGUAAACCACUUUUUUGUACAACAAUAUCUACUCUUCUUUCUUCAUGGGAACUCACGUAUUUUGCUGAGGUAGUUAGCCUCCAAAGAUGACCCUCAAUAAUUCCACCUAUUGGCUUUAUACAUCGUUGUGUAACCCCUGCUCAAAUUGUACCAGGGAUGUUCUGUGUGACCCAUAGAAUACAGGGUAGUGGUAUGUCACUUACAAGAUCAAAUCAUGAAAGUUAUUACUUUCCUCCCAGUGUCUUUCUCUUUCUCCAGUUUUCUAGAAGAAGCCAGUUCAUGGACAGUCUUGCGGGAUGACCCAUAGUGUGAAGAAAAAUAACUUCCUGCUAAGACACAUGUGAGGGUGUUUAGAUUGGAUCCUAUAGUCCCAGUCUUAUUUUCAGAGACCAUAUUUAUGGCUGACAGCUUAACCACAACCUCAUGAGAGACAUCCUCUGUAGCCAAGGCCCAGGCUGUACUUUGGCCCACUUUAGCCACAGCUGGAGUGGCUGGGACGCAGGACACCAAAUCCUGAAACUGCGCAAAGCAGCAAGUCUUUGCGCCUGGCUCAUAAAACCAUUUUUUUUUUUCCUCCUACACUUCCUGGCUUGUGAUGAAACAGGCUGCUGUGAAGUUUUAUGGUCAUUAAAGUCUCAGCAUUGUAAUAUUCUAAGCACGUGGUAAGACCAUACAUUCCAGUGCUCAUUUGUUUGCAUAUUAUCAAGUGUUUAAAUCUGACCAAUGAGUUAUAAACAGAAAUGAUGUAUGUCAUGUCAUUUCUUGUUUUGUGAUUUUUAUUACUGGUAUUAAAACUUUCAGAGUUUCUUUUCCCUCUCAUUUUACCAUGACAAUCAGCAACAUUCCAGACAGAUUUGCUCAGUCAGCCUGGAUUCCAGAGGGAGAAGGAUGUAGAGCAGAGUCCACAGCCUAACGCCUAACCAUGUUGAUAAUGUACAUAGUAUGAAAAAGAAAUACAUUUUUGUUACCUUAACUUACUGACAUUAGGAUAUUUUUACUGUAGCAUAACACUGAUUGUUACUGACGUAAGUAACAUGUAAGCCAACAGAAAGCAGAAAAAAAUCUAAACACCUCAACUGGAGAAUAGCUUUUGAGGUGGUGUUGGUCUAUUCCAUCAAAUAUUAUGACACUAAAAACACUGAUUAUGAAGACUGUGAUAAUAUUGUGAAUAUAGGUAAAAUAUUAUAUACAAUUAUAGAACAAAAUAUUAAGUUGAAACUCAAAAAAUGAUGUAAAAUGGUAUAUGUUCAACCCUAUUUGAUUAUUAUUUACUUCCAGAAACAUUGUAUAUUUAUGGUUCCUUUCCCUUCUCACAGUGUUCUGGCCAUGACAGGGUUAGUUCUUGCCACAAACUGUAGAAGAAGGUAGCUUUGGACUGCAGUAUUUUAUAGCUGGUGGAAGACCUUCAUAUUUAUAAUAAUAAUAAUAAUAAUAAAUACAAUAAUAAUAAAUAUUAUUAUUAUUAUUAUUAUACUUUAAGUUUUAGGGUCAUUUAACAUUAGGUAUAUCUCCAAAUGCUAUCCCUCCCCCCUCCCCCCACCCCACAACAGGCCCCGGUGUGUGAUGUUCCCCUUCCUGUGUCCAUGUGUUCUCAUUGUUCAAUUCCCACCUAUGAGUGAGAACAUGCAGUGUUUGGUUUUUUGUCCUUGCGAUAGUUUGCUGAGAAUGAUGGUUUCCACCUUCAUCCAUGUCCCUACAAAGGACAUGAACUCAUCAUUUUUUAUGGCUGCAUAGUAUUCCAUGGUGUAUAUGUGCCACAUUUUCUUAAUUCAGUCUAUCAUUGUUGGACAUUUGGCUUGGUUCCAAGUCUUUGCUAUUGUAAAUAGUGCCACAAUAAACAUACGUGUGCAUGUGUCUUUAUAGCAGCAUGAUUUAUAAUCCUUUGGGUAUAUACCCAGUAAUGGGAUGGCUGGGUCAAAUGGUAUUUCUAGUUCUAGAUCCCUGAGGAAUAGCCACACUGACUUCCACAAUGGUUGAACCUAGUUUACUGUCCCACCAACAGUGUAAAAGUGUUCCUAUUUCUCCACAUCCUCUCCAGCACCUGUUGUUUCCUGACUUUUUAAUGAUCGCCAUUCUAACUGGUGUGAGAUGGUAUCUCAUUGUGGUUUUGAUUUGCAUUUCUCUGAUGGCCAGUUAUGAUGAGCAUUUUUUCAUGUGUCUUUUGGCUGCAUAAAUAUCUUCUUUUGAGAAGUGUCUGUUCAUAUCCUUCGCCCACUUUUUGAUGGGGUUGUUUGAUUUUUUUUCUUGUAAAUUUGUUUGAGUUCAUUGUAGAUUCUGGAUAUUAGCCCUCUGUCAGAUGAGUAGAUUGCAAAAAUUUUCUCCCAUUUUGUAGGUUGCCUGUUGACUCUGAUGGUAGUUUCUUUUGCUGUGCAGAAGCUCUUUAGUUUAAUGAGAUCCCAUUUGUCAAUUUUGGCUUUUGUUGCCAUUGCAUUUGGUGUUUUAGACAUGAAGUCUUUGCCCAUGCCUAUGUCCUGAAUGGUAAUGCCUAGGUUUUCUUCUAGGGUUUUUAUGGUUUCAGGUCUAACAUUUAAGUCUUUAAUCCAUGUUGAAUUAAUUUUUGUAUAAGGUGUAAGGAAGGGAUCCAGUUUCAGCUUUCUACAUAUGGCUAGCCAGUUUUCCCAGCACCAUUCAUUAAAUAGGGAAUCUUGUUUUUGUCAGGUUUGUCAAAGAUCAGAUGGUUGUAGAUAUGCGGCAUUAUUUCUGAGGGCUCUGUUCUGUUCCACUGGUCUAUAUCUCUGUUUUGGUACCAGUACCGUGCUGUUUUGGAGGCGGAGGUUGCAGUGAGCUGAGAUUGCACCAUUGCACUCCAAGCCUGGGUGACAGAGCAAGACUCCAUCUCGGGAAAACAAACAAACAGACAAAAAAUGGUGUAAAGAGCAGAUAAAAUUCCAAAAGAAAGAAUUCUAACAUAAUCUUCAAAGGAUAUACUAAUCUUGUAUUUGUUCUACAGAUUGCCUGUUGCUAAAUUAUUUGCCCAACAAUGUUCCUCUCCCUUUGCUUCACAUAAUCUCCGCAAUAUUAUUUAUGCAUAUAGCAUUAUAAAGUUAUUUCCAAAGGAAUUAAUUCAUGCCAACAUUUCAUUUUAAUUUGUGAAAAACAGGGGAAAUAAUUCUACAUAUAUUCUGAAUAUAUUGAUUACAUACUCCGCUAUCUAUUAAUUUGAUGCAUAUGUAUUUUUGGACACCUACUAUUUAUUAAUUUUCAUCUGGAUUCAUGGUAAUAUUGGAUAUAGGCUUUCAUUGCUAUCUUUGCUAAAGGCUUUAUCACACUAAAUUGUAAGUAUUAUUAUAGCAUAUCUUAAAGGCAGAGAUCUUAUAAAUUAUCUUUUUAUAGUAAAUUUUUAGAGCAAUUCUGGGUAUACAGCGAAAGCUAACAAAAUAUUUAUCAAAUGACUAAACAGUUGAUGUAGGUAAUUCAGUUGUUCAGAAGAGGACAGCCCUGAAAAAGUCUGCCUGAGAAGUCAGGAAGGCCAGUGGGAGCAUGUUGGAAGUAAAAUAUGACUGGAAUACAACAUUGAGAGUUCACAUAUUCCUCACGCAAUUCAGUAUUAACCUUCUGUUAAUGUUAAUUCAUUUCAAGAAGAAUUUCUAGUUUUUUUUAAAUAAUCAUUCAGAGUUUUCCAGAAGAAUAGAUUUAAAGUUUGAUUUUGAUCAUCACUGGAAAGAUUUAGAGGCUCUGAUAACUUAUUGGAGAAAUGAUGUGAAAACUAACACUUUUAGAAAAUAAGACUAUUUAGAAAUUUGAGAGCCCAGAUUUAAUGCAAAAGCUUAAUUAUGCCUUCAUUGAAGUAGCUUUGAGAUUAAAACUCAUAUUUAUAUUAAAACACUUGAUUCCAGAACCUAUCUUUCAGACCAAGAAUGUCGAUAAAUGUCAUAUUUUUACAUAAGUAUGGGUAAAAUUAUUUUGUCUUAAUAUUAAAUUAUAUUUAAAAUUAUAUAUGAUUUUUUAGAUUGUAGCACAAAGUUGUCAACAGAACUGUGUGUAAACUAGUUAUAAAAGUAAUGUAUGCUUAUUUGUAGAAAACAUGAAAAAUGAAGGCUAUAAAAUGAAAUUAUCCUAUAUUCAUGUCAUCCAAAGAUAAUCAUAUAAUUUUAAUGUAUUUCCUCUCAGGUUUUUUUCUCUUUGUCUCUUGCUGAGUGUCUUUCCUCUCAUUUUCCUCUGUCUGCUUCUUUGUUCAUGUCUCUGUUCCUCUUUUCCUCUCACAGGUCCUGUCUCCGUAUCUUUACUUUUCUCUGUUUCUUUGUCUACUGCUGUCCGUUUCCGCUUUUCAAUUAAAACGUCCAUGGUGUUUCACAUUUGUCACUUAGCUUUAUAUUGCAUCAAAUCACUAAAACUGUUGAAGAGUGAUAUAAAAAACAGCAAGUCACCCAUCCACUGGAAAUAUUCUGGAAUGUAUCACAUAAGUGAAAAAUUCUUUGCACUGUAUCAGGGAUCUGUAAGGGCAGGAAAUAUUUUUAAGGUCUGUUUCAUUUUUAACAGCCUAUGACAAAUUGAUGAGAUCUCAUGCUCUAUUUCAGUCAGUUUUAUUGAAGAAUUUUGAGCUGGAUAAACUGAAAGUGGCUAUUGAAGUCAUGAUUUAUGUUAUGGACAUCGUUGGAGAUAAAUGGAGGGAUGUUAUAAGGAAUACAGUGGCACUAGGAGAACAAGAACCACGUGUGGAAAUAGGAGGAUAAAAGAGAGAGACUGAAUCUAUUAAUAAGAUAAGAUGGGAGUAAAAGUUGAGAAUAAAAUUCUGAGGGUGGUGAGAGGAAGGUCAUAUAAAGAAAAGAGUUCAGCAUGUAAGAAAUAAUGGGAAAACAAAGGGAAAAAUAAAACCAAGAAAGAAGAAAUGAGAAAAUAAAUUAGAUAAAAUGGAAAAUAAAUGAGAAUUGCUUGUUGAGUGAGAAAUGAUGAAAAUUUCUAAAAGCUACUUGUAUUUGCAGGGACUGCUUUUUUCUUAUUCACUUUUGUUUGUGUAAUUGUUAAUAGUUUUAGUUUCCAAGUUAUUACAUAAAUUAGUUUAUAUACAUAUCCAUAUUAUCUUCACUAGACAACUUUGUAUAAACUAGUCUGGGUUCCAGGAAAACCAUGGAAUAUUUAUUAAUGAUAAAAUUUUAGGCCAAAAUUUAGUUCUGUAAAAUAUAAUCUAUAGGGAAAAUCUACAUGUUCAACAAGAAAUCCAAAUUAUGUUUUGUGACCGUGUAACUUGGAUAUCUAAUUAAAAUACCCAAUCACUAAGUUAAGACAAUCAUUUAACUAACAUAUUCUCUCUCUAUAUGCCCUUAUAGGUUGGUGACAGUGGUUUUGGAAAAAGAAAAAAAACACUUUAUGGGUUUUUAGUGUUGUUGAAUAUCAAGGUAUCUACUUAAACCUUCUAAUUUAGGUAUAGGAGAAAUUAAACUAGCAAAAGCAAACGACAUAGGUUUUGGGUAAUAUGAAUUUGUUUUCACUUUAUUCAUAGUCUAAGGUUGUUCUGCCCAAUAAGAUAGCCAACAGACACAUGUAAUUAAACAUGUGAUGUUUGGCUGGUCCAAAUUGAGAUGUACUAUAAGUAUAAAAUUCACACUACAUUUUGAAGUUAGUACAAAAGAAAGAAAAACAAAUGUAGAGAUUUUUAAAAAGACAGUGUUUAAAAUAUUUUUAAAGCAUGUAAAAGAUAGUACUCAUAGACAAAUUACUAUAAAAUAAUUUUAUUGACUACAAGUUGAAAAGUUAAUAUUUUAGAUAUAGUGGGUUAAAGAAAACAGUCUCAAAAUUAAUUUUACCUAUUUCUGUUUAGUUUUUAAAUGAGGCCACUAUGAAAUAUAAAGUUAGAUAUGCAGGAUCACAUUAUACUGGUAGAGAGGACAGUGCUGUUCUAAGUCAGGGGUCUAUAAACUACAGUGUGCAGAUCAAAUCCAGCCUGCAUACGAUUUCUGUAAAACAACCCACCAAUUUGUUUCCAUAUUAUUCAUGGCUGCUUUCAUGUUGCAGUGGUAGAGUUACGUAGUUGCAGUGGACCACAUUUGGCCCACAGUCUAAAAUAUUUACUGUCUUUACAGAAAAAGUUUGGCAACCCCUGCUUUAGAGUAACUUAGCAGUCUUAUUUAACCUUAAUCUUCAGUUUUUUUCUGUAUCCUCAAUAGGAAAAUCAGUGGGUGAGAAUGGGAGCUAACAAGUGGAAAGGAAGCAUAUCUUAGUAAAGAAGGCCUGCCCAUCAUUUAAAACAUACAAAUUCCACUGCCUAAAAUGUUAGUUAUGUCACUUAAAGAAAAUGAAACAAGGGAUAACAGUAUCAACAAAAACUUCAAUAAUCUAUGCUUUGUUAAUUCAUACUCCCAAACGAGAAUGAUAACAUAUAAUCCCUUUCUCCUCUAAUAUGCUCCUGUUACAUAUCCCUGCUGCUAACUUCACUGCUGCCACUUUUAAGAAAGAUGGAUUAAAAACUCUUAUUGGCUAAAGGACAAGUAGGAGAGUGAACUAGUGUUAUACAUUGAGAGGAAAAGCCGUUAUACAUUGAGGGGGAAGGUUUAAGACAAAGUAAAACUCAGUUGAGAGUUUUGGAGAGAAAGGGGAAAGAAUAAAGCUGAAAUAGGAGAUAAUGUUUUUCUACAUUUAGAGGUGUGCUCUCAUCUAGGUUUUGUCAUUUUGAUUGUAUUUAACUACUAUUAUAUUAACAGGGAACGUUUCCUUUUACACUAUUUUUAAGCCACAAAAAUGGAAUAAAACAAAACAAAAAACCCUAGUUUUAAAUUUUUUUGAGGAGUCUAAUAUGGAUCUCAUGGAUGGACGUUGAGCCUGAAGCCAUUUCUGGCAAGACUUGUCUUGAGAGGGGAGAAUGAGUUUAUUCUGCAUGUGGUAGGGAUGUGAAUUAUUGAGAUCACAGAAAAGACUGUAGUAGUUUUUAAAGAUGUUUAAAAUGGUUCCUCCCACUAUCCUCUGAGUUGUAAUUUUCUGUUCCUUCCAUUAAGAGCUGAAAUUUAUUUCCUCACUCCUUGCAUAUAAGCUGGCAUUCUGGCUUGCUUUGACCAAUUGGAGGAUGUUAUUUGACUUCUGAGUCCAGACAUUAAGAGAUCAUGCAGCUUUCACUUUAUGCCCUUAGAAUGCCUCCCUGAGGUCAUGCUGUGGGUAAGAUAGUAUAUUAUUUAUCUAUUGCUACAUACCAGUAUUACCACAAGCUUAGCAGCUUAAAGCAACAUGCAUUUGUUUUAUCACCAUUUUUGAGAUUCAGGAGUCCAGGCCCAGCUUAUCGCAGUUCUCUGAUUAGGAUCUCACAGGACUGCAAUCAAAGGGUUGGCUGGGGCCACAGUCUCAUCUGAGAUUUGGAUGGGUAAAGGUGUUCUUCACGGCUCAUUCAGGUUGUUGGAGAAAUUCAAUGUUUCACUCUCAGAGGUUGACUGCUAUUCCUUGCUAUUUUUUGGCUCCUCAAUAUGGCUCCUUGCUACCUUAAAGGAAGCCAAGAAGAGACUCAAAAGAUGAAUAUUGCAAUCUUAUGUUAUGUAUUGUAUAUGUAAUCAUGUACUUUUGCCAUAUUCUAUCAGUUUGAAGCAAGUCCAAGUCGAGCCCAUACUCAAUGGAGUGAAGGGUAUUCCACAAGGGUGUGAACAAAAAGAGGCAGCAAUAAUGCAGGCCACAUUAAGUGUCUGUCUGUCACAGCUAGUCUAGUUCAUUGGAGGAUAAAAAUUGUCAAAAAUUGUAUAAGGUCUGAAAGUUUACCCUACUUGAAAUCUGAUAAGUAAAUUUGCCACAAUUUCGUGGUUGCUGAAAGCAGAGACAUGAUUUCUGGGUCAGAGAUAAAGAAUUUUAAUUUUUACAGAAUUAGCAGUAGCCAGAAUAUCAUUUUUUUUCCUACUGAUUUUCUGAGCCCCAAUCUCCAUGCGGAGUGUACCAAGUAAUGCCUAUGCAAACACUAGUUGUGUGAUAUGAGCACUCUGAGCUUAUGAAACCUGAAUCUUUCAUAGCGGCCAGUAAGCAUGCUUACCUUUUGUUCUGGAGAGAGCAAGGAUGUUGGUAACACAAUUUCUCAUACUGGUCUAUAGAUAAACAGAAAACAAAAAUUGUACUUGGAGAAAAUGUUGUUGUAGUACUUAAAAAAGAAAAGGCAACAGAAGCUUCUUGGUUUUGAAUUCCAUGUGGCAGUUCAUUUCCAAACUACUUAAAAUAUUUCCAUGAUAAAAUAUAUGUAACAUAUUUGAAUUUUAAAAAGUAAGAAAUGACAAAAGUCAUUUAUAAGUAGAUGUGAAAUUCUUAACAUAGCUAGCCAGACUUUCCCAAGGGCUAAAGUAAAAUUUCCUUUUAAUUAGAGUCAAGAUAAUAAAAAGGGUGAAAAGAAGCAUCUCCCAAAAGCAAGUAUUUUUGUUAAAAAAAUUCAAGACUUUUUUCUUCCCAGUUAGAAGUAGAAUAUAAUAAAGAAAAACUUUUCUUGUCACGUUGUUUUAAUUUUUUCAAGGCAUAUAACUUUGAACAAUAAUUUUAGGGAAGAUUAACUUUGGUAAUUUCUUUUCAGAAUUAUGAAUAUACAUAUAUAUGUGUUUGUGUGUAUGUGUUAUAUAUUUUGUUCUACUACUUCUGUAAAAUAUUACUGAUAAUUUGUGAUGUGGAUGAGGGCGGGGAAUUAGAGAAAAGAGAAGUCCUUCAUAAGAGGAGUAAGUUUUUAUUACAACACUGAACAAAGAUAAUGGGAAUGAGUAGUAAAUUUUACAUGUUUAUAUACAAGUCACAAAUUUACAUUAAGAAGUAAAUUAAGGCAUUUUCCCCAAUGUAUAGAAACAACUACAAUGACAUCAAAAACUAAAACAAAAGAAAAAAAGGGAGAAGAAACAAAGCAGGUAAUCAUCAAAGGAAACCUCUAUCUUGUGUUCAAAAUUACUUUUAAAAUGUGUCACAGUGAUGAGAAUGCUUUGUGCAAAUGUCCACAAUGUAAACCAUGGUGAGUUCCAACUAGAAAACCACUUUAUUCUGCCUCCCUCAAAAUUGACCUUUUAAAAAAACUGAACACUUUUACACUGUUGGUGGGACUGUAAACUAGUUCAACCAUUGUGGAAGUCAGUGUGGCGAUUCCUCAGGGAUCUAGAACUAGAAAUACCAUUUGACCCAGCCAUCCCAUUACUGGGUAUAUACCCAAAGGACUAUAAAUCAUGCUGCUAUAAAGACACAUGCACACGUAUGUUUAUUGCGGCACUAUUCACAAUAGCAAAGACUUGGAACCAAGCCAAAUGUCCAACAAUGAUAGACUGGAUUAAGAAAAUGUGGCACAUAUACACCAUGGAAUACUAUGCAGCCAUAAAAAAUGAUGAGUUCAUGUCCUUAGUAGGGACAUGGAUGAAAUUGGAAAUCAUCAUUCUCAGUAAACUAUCGCAAGGACAAAAAAACCAAACACCGCAUAUUCUCACUCAUAGGUGGGAAUUGAACAAUGAGAACACAUGGACACAGGAAGGGGAACAUCACACUCUGGGGACUGUUGUGGGGUGAGGGGAGGGGGGAGGGAUAGCAUUAGGAUAUAUACCUAAUGGUAAAUGAUGAGUUAAUGGGUGCAGCACACCAGCAUGGACAUAUGUAACUAACCUGCACAUUGUGCACAUGUACCCUAAAACUUAAAGUAUAAUAAUAAUAAAAUAAAAUAAAAUAAACUGUGCUGAAGCUAAUGUUUCCUUUUUCUCUGGGUUUAAAUUUGAGAAGGCUAUAGCUUAUCUCUUAACUUUUCACUUGGGUCUUAGUCUACUCAGGUUUCCAUAACAAAGUAACAUCGACUGAGUGGUCUAAACAACAGAAAUAUUAUUUUCUCACAAUUCUGGAGGCUGAAAGUCCAACAUCAAACCAAUUUGGUUUCUGGAGAGGGGUCAUUUCUUGGCUUGCAGUUGGCUUCCUUCUCACUUAUCUUUCCUCAGUUCUUACCUCAGUGUGAAACCACCUCACCUCAGGAUUUUAUAAAAUCAAUUAAGAAAAAAAAAUCCAGCUAAUCACAGCAGCAAUCAUUAUGCCAACUUGCCUUCUGGCUCACUUACUUGUAGAGUCACUACUCCAGUAUAAUGUGGCCCUUGUCACAAGACUCUUUUCAUUUUCUAUUCUAUAAAGUCUAAGACAUUGUGAGAUGAUAAGUCUUCUAUUGGAGCUUCUUUCCUAAGUUCUUCAUACUAAGAAAACUACAGAUGCCAGCUGGUCUGGAGGGCCUAGUAAGAACCUGACUCAUAAAGAAAUGCAGUUGCUGUUUCUUGAUGAUUUCAUGUCCCUUAUCCUAAGCAAUCGAUGACCUCAAAUUUUCCAGCCCCUCACUCUCCACAAAUCCCCAUGAAAACCCUUGCCCAGAGCCCCUUGACAGAACAGAUUUGAGGCUUGAGAAUUCCUCCCAUUUCCUCAUUGGGUGACUUGUGAUUAUUAAACCCUUUCUCUACUGCAACCCUGCUGUCAGUGUAUUGGUCUGUUGCUGUGCAGUGGGCAUAGAAAACUGGCAGUCCUGUAACAAGCAGUUGUGCAGCUGAGGGUGGAAGUAGGGGUGGUAGGAGAAGAGAAGAAUUUUAAAAAAAGAAAAAGAAUGCUUUCUCUGGUGUCUCCUAAUCCUACUGGAUUAAGGCCACACUCUUGUGACUUCAUUUAACAAUAAUUACUUCCUUAGAGGCCAUAUCUCCAAAUUCAACCACACUGCGGAUUAGGGCUUCAACAUAUGAAUUUGUAGAGAUUCUCUGCCCAUCUAACUUUUCUUACCCCUCCUGUAGCUUACUGGCAAUGAUGAGGGAAGAUAAUGAAUAAAAAAUAGGCAAGGAGCAAGAGUGGCCCAGUUAGUCCCAUCAGUCAGGGGUCAGCAAACUUCCUGUAAAGCGCCAAUCAGUUUUGCUGACAUACAGUCUUUGUUGCAGUUACUCAACUCCAACAUAGUAGUACAAUAGAUGAAAAAUAGAAACCAUAGUUGUGUUCCGUAAAAUUUUUAUUUACAAAUGCAGGCAGGCCAAUCUCUUUUCUAGAGCAUAAUUAAAACAUAAAAGAAUCCCAUUUUUAUCAUCCUGAUACUUGGUUUGGUAUAGCAACAGAUGAGAAGCUGCAAUCUUUGGGGGAUGGAAUGGGUAGGAAUGUACAUUUAUUCAAGUGUGUUUUUGUCACUCAGUGAAUUUCAACAUUUGCUGCAUGUUAGAAAUCUCUGGGACACUUUUAAAAAAUCAGAUUUUAAAAUGUGAUGCCCAGGCUACAAGGAGAUAAGUUAAAUCAGAAGGUGGUGAUUUGAUACCCAUUACUAAUAUUUUUUUAAAGAUCCAACAUGCCAUCAGGAGUAGAAAUAACUUUUUUAGCUGUAGCUUACUGAAAAUGUUCAAACACCAUAAACACAUUAGCACCUCGAACAUAUAAAUGUUACCAGAAGCACCUUGGCAGAAGUUCUUCAGCAGUAUUCAUCCAGGUUUUGUAUUACCUGUUUUUUUUUGUUUGUUUGUUUUGGGGCCUCUAUUGAUUCUGCUCCAUGAAUUCAUCUAGGCGACUUCAUUAACUUAUUUUUUGAAUAUUUAUCUCAGCUUUGACCUGAAACAUUUCUUUUGCAACAUGUGGAAUAUUUCUCCUAAGUUCACAGUCUAGUGAAGCUGCUUUUGUGAACUUUCUACUGAGAGAUAUCUGACAUAGUUGACUCCAUCUUGCUUCUGACCCCCAAGCUGUCCUUGGUCAUUCUUGUGCAUAGGCCAAGCUAACUUUGGGAGGAAUUUAGUUUACAGUUUAACUUGAAAACAACAACAAUAAUACCCCCUCCUAAAACUACUCUUCUCUUUGCUCAGAGACCCAAAACCACCCUUGUGAAACUAAUGAAAAGUCGCAAGAAUAGGAUCAUGGGAGGGGCCUGGACUCUGCUAAGAUGUAGGCAUAGUGUCUAUAAUCCUUUACUGCUCAGGAGUUAUGUGGCCAGAGGUCACAAGAUUUGUGGCUUGACCAGUUACUCCUAUUGAUAACAUCACUAUUGUAGAAGCUAAAAAUGGUUUUUUGAGAUACCUUUCAGACUGUUCCCACCCAGAUUCAUGACUCAACUGAUCCUGUAGCCCCACCCAGAGGUGUACUCAGCAUAUGAGUACCACUUUCCACACCCCUAUGAUUUCAUCGUCAGUCAGUAAAGAGCACCCAUUCCCUAGCUAUGAUAUGAGUGGUAACUUCAAUUCUCUCAUGUGGGCCAGCCUCACAUCAAUUAAACCAGUUCUCUACUGUAAUGCUGUAGUCUCAGUGGAUUGAUUUGUCUGUGCACUGGGCAGGAAGAACCCAUCCGAUGAUUACAUGACUGAAAUAAGUAAAAGGCACUCUGCACUCAUGCCUUGCUGUAGCCAAUACUUAAUAGAGCCACAGGCUAAAAUGUUCUGAAAGCUGUUACUCUUAAUUAGCUCUGUGUGUGGGUGUGUAUGUGUUGAGCAUAGUUUUGUGUUGACUGGAGGGCAGUCAUUCUUUGCUGCUAAAAAAUUAUCAUUUUUUAAAUCAGCAUUAAAUUUUUUAAUAAAAUCAGCAUUUAAUGAUAAUUUUUUAUGAGCUUUAUAAUUUUUUGUCAGCAUUUCUCAGGGUUUACCUAUUUAUUGUUGUUAUUUUUAGGUGCAGAUGUUUGCUGACACAGCCUCAGCCUCAUGGGAGGGACUCAGCAAAAUGGAAUUUGUGGUCUCUUCAUUAUAGGCAGAGGGUGAAGAAAAAUGGGCAGCUUAAUAUCAGUCUAAGUUUGUUUAGAUUACGUGGACUUCUAAAUGGCUUGAGCAAUUGGUUCUGGAGUAUUUAAUGCCAUAUGAUUUACAGCAAUGUCAUAUAUUCACAGAAGCACUGACAACACUCCAGCUCUUCACUUCUGAAACCAGGAGGUUUCUGGAACACAAGUUAAGAUCAGGCUGAGCCCUGUUCUUAGUCAUAGAGUGGUGUUUUCUAUCCUUUUAAUUUUUAAAUGAAAUAAAGCUGUUUUUUCCUAUUCAAGGCAAUUAUAAAUUCAAGACAUACGACAGCUUCCAGGACUGAGCCUAUCUAGAUAAAGUGUGAGGAGGUUAGUGCUGCCCAUAAUUAAGUUCAUUGUUUCCUUGAUAUAUCCCAGCUGAAUCACAUGACUCUUACACAUUUAGGAAAAUUAAUACUUUUUUACUUUAGCAUUAUCUGACCCACACUUUAUUACAUUUCCUGAGACUCUCUCUGUAGUCUCAACUUUAUAUAUUGCCUUAAGCCAUGAAUACAAGUAAACACUGCAGAACGUGAGGCAUUUGAUGUAACUGAGUUUAAGAAGAUAUCUUAUUUGAUGUUCUGGAUAAUUAUAGAAUAUUGUGUUUCUUUUCAGUAGACUAUCAUCUCAUAUUCACCCUGAAUGAAGAAUAAGUACAUUUAAGAAUGUUCUUUUCCUAUCAAAUUAAAAUGUUGCUUCUUUUCAUUUUGCAUAUUUUUGCUUUUUGUGUUUUUUUGAUUAGGUGAACUAAUGGUUUUUUUUUAAUCUUAUGGUUUGCUUUUAUUGCCAACAGUCAACAUUUGGUUUUAUUUAUUAUUUGUAAACUUUUUAUUAUUUUCUAAUUUUUAAUGUUUGUAUUUCUCUUUAGUAAUUAGUUUCAUCAAAUUUUCUUAGGUUCAUUUGGUUGUUUUUUUAAAACUAUCUUCUUGAAUUAAGUAUGUAAUUAAUUUGCGUUCAUUUUUUGUUUUUAGAAAUGAAAAUAUUUAAAACAAAUUUCCACUGCAGUGCUGUAGUUGUAUCCCAUGUUUUCAUAACAUUCUCUAUAACUUCUGUUUUGUCCUUUCUUUGAAGUUAUGUAAGUGUAACACUUUAAAAAUUAUCUCAUUUUUAGACACUCCAAAAUUCUGAUAAAUCACAGUAUAGACACUAUUCUAUGACUAUAACACACAAAGCUAGAAUAUAGCAAAAGAAAACUAAAAACAAAGUUAGAGACACUUAGAAUCUCUCUUUCUUUCUCUCUCUAUUUAUCUCUCUCAGAUAUACACACACAUACACACAUAAAUACUUAUGUUAACUCCAAACAAGGACUUAAAAGUAUCAAACUAAUGAAAUGUUACAAAUAUUUCUUAUGAAUCAAUUAAUACUUUAAAAAUCCUUUAAAAAGCAAAGCCCACAUAUUUUAACACAAAAGAGAAAAAGGAACUAUAUGUCUUGUUCCCAAUGUUUUGUAAAUGUUAGAAUAGUUAUAGUUGCAUAUACAAAAAACACCAAUACCUCUUCUCUUAAUUGUUAACAAGAUAAAGAAUGGAUAAUAGGAGUCAAAGAAAUGUAGCACAUCUUAAUAACUAAUAUUAUGUUUAUUAAAACAGAAAAAAGUUUCAAAGGAACAAAGAUAUCUACAUGUAACUAUUCAGGGAUAAAUUCAAGUGAAGAAUAUUUUCAGAAGUUGAGAAAAACACUAUAACAUAAAGGAAAGAAAAUGAGUAAUAAACUACAAUUAGACUGAAGCAACCCACUCAGAAAAAAUAUCCAGAAAUAAUAUAGAAGGAUGUUAUGUUUUUCUCAAGGGGAUUUUUUUUUUAUUACACUUUAAGGUUUAGGGUACAUGUGCACAAUGUGCAGGUUAGUUACAUAAGUAUACAUGUGCCAUGCUGGUGUGCUGCACCCACUAACUCGUCAUCUAGCAUUAGGUAUAUCUCCUAAUGCUAUCCCUCCCCCCUCCCCCCACCCCACAACAGUCCCCAUGUUCCACUUCCUGUAUCCAUGUGUUCUCAUUGUUCAAUUCCCACCUAUGAGUGAGAACAUGCGGUGUUUGGUUUUUUGUCCUUGCGAUAGUUUACUGAGAAUGAUGGUUUCCAAUUUCAUCCAUGUCCCUACAAAGGACAUGAACUUAUCAUUUUUUAUGGCUGCAUAGUAUUCCAUGGUUUAUAUGUGCCACAUAUUCUUAAUCCAGUCUAUCAUUGUUGGACAUUUGGGUUGGUUCCAAGUCUUUGCUAUUGUGAAUAAUGCCUCAAUAAACAUACGUGUGCAUGUGUCUUUAUAGCAGCAUGAUUUAUAGUCCUUUGGGUAUAUAACCAGUAAUGGGAUGGCUGGGUCAAAUGGUAUUUCUAGUUCUAGAUCCUUGAGGAAUUGCCCCACUGUCUUCCACAAUGGUUGAACUAGUUUACAUUCCCACCACCAGUGUAAAAGUGUUCCUAUUUCUCCACAUCCUCUCCAGCACCUGUUGUUUCCUGGCUUUUUAAUGAUUGCCAUUCUAACUGGUGUGAGAUGGUAUCUCAUUGUGGUUUUGAUUUGCAUUUCUCUGAUGGCCAGUGAUGGUGAGUAUUUUUUCAUGUUUUUUUUGGCUGCAUAAAUGACUUCUUUUGAGAAGUGUCUGUUCAUAUCCUUCGCCCACUUUUUGAUGGGGUUGUUUGUUUUUUUCUUGUGAAUUUGUUUGAGUUCAUUGUAGAUUCUGGAUAUUAGCCCUUUGUCAGAUGAGUAGGUUGCAAAAAUUUUCUCCCAUUUUGUAGGUUGCCUGUUGACUCUGAUGGUAGUUUCUUUUGCUGUGCAGAAGCUCUUUAGUUUAAUGAGAUCCCAUUUGUCAAUUUUGUCUUUUGUUGCCAUUGCAUUUGGUGUUUUAGACAUGAAGUCCUUGCCCAUGCCUAUGUCCUGAAUGGUAUUGCCUAGGUUUUCUUCUAGGGUUUUUAUGGUUUUAGGUCUAACGUUUAAGUCUUUAAUCCAUCUUGAAUUAAUUUUUGAACCAAAAAGAGUCCAGGACCAGAUGGAUUCACAGCCAAAUUCUACCAGAGGUACAAGGAGGAACUGGUACCAUUCCUUCUGAAACUAUUCCAAUCAAUAGAAAAAGAGGGAAUCCUCCCUAACUCUUUUUAUGAGGCCAGCAUCAUCCUGAUACCAAAGCCGGGCAGAGACACAACCAAAAAAGAGAAUUUUAGACCAAUAUCCUUGAUGAAGAUCGAUGCAGAAAUCCUCAGUAAAAUACUGGCAAACCGAAUCCAGCAGCACAUCAAAAAGCUUAUCCACCAUGAUCAAGUGGGCUUCAUCCCUGGUUUGCAAGGCUGGUUCAAUAUAUGCAAAUCAAUAAAUGUAAUCCAGCAUAUAAACAGAACCAAAGACAAAAACCACAUGAUUAUCUCAAUAGAUGCAGAAAAGGCCUUUGACAAAAUUCAACAACCCUUCAUGCUAAAAACUCUCAAUAAAUUAGGUAUUGAUGGGACGUAUCUCAAAAUAAUAAGAGCUAUCUAUGACAAACCCACAGCCAAUCUCAAGGGGAUUAUAUAGAGAUAUUAAUAGAAAAUAAUAUAAAAUAUUAGAAAACAAUGGAUCUAGAAACCCAAGUGGGAAUUAUAAAUAAAUAUUUUAAGAUAUUCUGGCAGUAUUGAGCUAUGUGAGUUAAUGAGUUUUACAGAAUAACUUAAAAAUGAUGAAUUAACCUCCAGGCUGAUUUAAGCUGAUCCAUUACACAAAGGAAAAUAUGAGGUAACCUCAGGUGCCUGUUUACCAAAGGCUUUUAGAAAACAAUGUAAUAAAGAUCAUCUUAGUCAUUCUAAAGUAAGAAUAAAUGUCAUAAAAAAGAGAAAGUGAGAAAUGUGAAUUAUGAGAAGAAAUUAUACUUUUAUUUAUGAAAUUCUAAUUUAGCUUGGAAUUAAUACUUCUUUUACUUAGAUAAAGAACACUACAUAAUGCUUAUGAUGUGUAAGAGAAAACAAGGUAGGAAUGUAUUUAAAAUUUUUAUUAUUUUAUCCUUAUGCUACAAAAAAUUAGAAGGCUUUAAAUAAUACAUCUUGUCUGGAAAAGCAUUUAUAUUUUGGAUAAACUUAGUGUUCUGGAAACCAUGUAAAAUGUCUAGGUACUUAAUGUUUAUAAAAUCUUAGAGAAGUCAAACUUGUGUAUAUAAUAAUAAUAUACACCAAUAUAUUUAUACAUCUAUAUCCGUCUACUUACCUGUCUCUGUGCCUCUAUAUCUGUAUCUAUGCCCUCAAAGAGACAAGAUAGGAUGUAAACAUUAUUUGAAUAAAAUUUAUAAUGCACAGAAGCAUUUAUUUAAAAUUGUCAUAUUUCAAUAAUAGGCAGAAUUAUUUUCAAAAUAUUAACUGGACAAAGGAUUUCUUAAUAUUCUCACUGAGUUUGUCAUGGUUCUCCAGAGAAAAAGAACCAACAGGAUAUCUAUCUAUCUAUCAUCUGUCUAUCUAUUGAGAGAUAAAAAUAUAUUUAUUAUGAAGAAUUGGCUCACAUGAUUAUGCAGGCCAAAAAGUCCCUUCAUCUGUUGUCUAUAACCUGGAAGCCCAGAGAAAUCAGUGGUUUAAUUCCAGUUCAUGCUCAAAGGCUUGAGAAUCAAGGAAGCCAAUGGUGUAUGUCCUAGUUCAAGUCUGUGGGCAGAAGAUGGAUGCCCUUACUCAAAUAGAGUAAGUGAAUUCAACCUUCUUCCAUCAUUUUAUUCUAUUUUAUGCCCUCAACAGAUUGACUGAUGCCUGUUCACACUAAUCAAGGGUAUCUUUUUUACUCAAAGUACAGAUUCAAAUGUUAAUAUCUUCUAAAAUCACCCCCAUGGAUACACUUGGAAAUGGUGUUUUACCAGUUUGGCUCUGUGUUCACACCCAAAUCUGAUGUUGUAUUGUAAUCCUGAAGUUUGAAGGAGGGCCUGGUGGAAAUGAUUGAAUCAUGGGUACAGGCUUCUCCUUUGUUGUGCUCAUGAUGGAGUUCUCAUGAGAUCUGAUUGUUCGAAAGUAUGUAGCACUUCUCCCUUGUCUCUCUCUCUCUCUCUCUGUCUCUCUCCUGCUUCAUCAUGGUAAGAUGUGCUUGCUUUCCCUUUGCGCUCUGCCAUGACUGUAAGUUUCCUAAGGCCUUCCACACAUACUUCCUGUAUAGCCUGUGGAACCGUGAGUCAAUUAAACCACUUUUCUUCAUAAAUUGUCCAGUCUCAACUAGUUCUUUAUAGCAGUGUUGGAAUGGACAAAUACACCGGCUAUCUGGGCAUCCCUUAGUUCAGUCAAAUUGAUACAUAAUGUUAGCAAUCACAUUAUCACAUUCACCCAUGGUGUUUUUUGUGUAUUGUGUAUGUUUAAAAAUUUAAUUUUGGAUGUCUCUAAAACCAAGUUUAUAAUUUUAUUUAAAAUAUCAACAGUCUUCUAAAUUCAAAUGAAAAACAACAUAAGUAAAUGUUUGUUUUUUGAUAUUUGUAAAAAUACAUUUUCAAAGCCCAUAGCAAUUGAAGGACAGUAAAACUGUUGCACACAAAAACAAACACACAGAGGAAUGUUUGGCACACUUAUAUUAAAUGAGUUUCAGUUCACGACACAGGAGCUUAAAAUUUUAAAUGCUAUCUAUGUUUCUACACUUCUCUCAGCCCUAAUUGUCACAAUUUUGAAAGUCAAUAUAAAAUCUGUCAUAAUUGAGGGAGGUAAUGGGAAAAAAUAUACACUCAAGAGACUUUUCUAAAAUUCUGGAACUUAAUUUGAAAUAGUAAGAAAAUAUUCAUAUAACUAUAUAUAGAAAAGGAUAUAUGAGAAGUGUAAUCAUUUAAUUUACUAAAUAAUUGACUCUUAUAAAUUAAUUAUACUUGAGACCAAGGCAAAGUUUUAGGUAUGAUAGAACUACUCUGAUGUUCAAAACACAUUUUCUAGUAACUUUUUCCUUUGAAUAAGCAAUUAGGGUCAUCUAGUCAUUGCUAUAGCCCAAGAUUAUUUUUAGAUAUGUUUUGACAUUUUCAAAUUCACAGGGCUCCAAAUGCCUUCAGUAAUGAAUCCACUAUACCAUUUUUUCAUUUAUUUGGAACCAGUCUUAUAUCUAAGUCAAUUGAAAGUCAGUUUCUUAAAUGAUUUGAGAAGUGUCAGAAAUGUCUACCUGUCAAAAGAGUAAUUUUUCCACCAUUUCUACAAUACCUAAAUAUUUCAAAUUAGAGAAUAAUUUAAAUUACAUGUGAUUAUUCCUGGAAAUGUAGUAAAUUUUGACAUCACCAGUUCAAGUAGAAAAGAACAAUUGAAAAUAUUUUUAAAAAUUUUAAAACAGUUUUACUUAGAAUUAUGCCUAAAUGUAUUAGAAGUAUAUAUUUAUAUUAGUCCAUUCUCACACUGCUAUAAAGAACUACCUAAGCCUGGGUAAUUUAUAAAGAAAAGAGGUUUCAUUCACUCACAGUUCCACAGUCUGUACAGGAAACAUGAGUGGGGAGGCCUCAGGAAAUUUAUAAUCAUGGCAGAAGGGCAAAGGAGAAGCAAGCACAUCUUCACAUGGUAGGAGGAGAGAGAGAGAACGUGAAGGGGGAAAUGCUACACACAUUUAAACCAAAAGAUCUCAUGAGAACUCACUCAUAAUCACAAGAACAGAAAGGGAGAACUCCACCUCCAUAAUCCAAUUGCCUCCCACCAGAACCCUCCUCCAGCUCUGGGAAGUACAAUUUGGGAUGAGAUUUGAAUGGGGACCCAGAGCCAAACUCUAUCAUUUUGCACCUGGCCCCUCCCAAAUUUUGUGUCCUUCUCAUAUUUCAAAACACAAUCAUGCCUUUCCAAUAGUCCCCCAAAUUCUUAACUCAUUCCAGCAUUAACUCAAAAGUCCAAGUCCAAAGUCUUGUCUGAGACAAGGUAAGUCCCUUCCACCAAUGAGACUGUAAAAUCAAAAACAAGCUAGUUACUUCCAAGAUAAAAUGGGGAUAUAGGCAUUGGGUAAAUGCUUCCAUUUCAAAUGGGAGAAAUUGGCUGUACAGCUCCACUAGGCAGUACCCCAUUGGAGACUCUGUGAGGGGGCUCCAACUUCACAUUUUAUCUUUGCACUGCCCUAGUAGAGGUUCUCCAUGAGGGCUUCACCCCUGGAGCAGACUUCUGCCUGGACACCCAGGUAUUUCCAUACAUCCUCUGAAAUCUGGGUGGAGGCUCCCAAGCCUCAACACUUGCUCUCUGCACACCCACGUACUUAGAACCACGUGGAAACCACCAAGUCUUCUUAUGACUUGCAGCCUCUGGAGCAGUAGCCUGAGACAUAUCUGAGGACUUUUUACCCAUGGCUGGAGCUGGAGCAGCUGGGAUGCAGGGUGUGCAGAGCAGCAGGGCCCUGGGCCUGGCCCACAAAAGCAGUUUUCCCCCAUGCCCUCCAGGCCCAUGAUGGGAAAGGCUGCCAUGAAGGUCUUUGAAAUGACUUGGUAGCAUUUUUCCCUAUAGUCUUGGCUAUUAAUAAGUGGCUUUUCUUUAUUUAUGCAAAAUUUCUGCAGUCUUAAAUAUAUAUAUAUAUAUAUAUAUAUAUAUAUAUAUAUAUAUAUGUAUAUAUACACACACACAUACACACAAUUUACACACGUUCUGUUGGUUCUGUUUCUCUGGAGGACCUAUAUAUACACACACACAUACACACAAUUUACACACGUUCUGUUGGUUCUGUUUCUCUGGAGGACCUUGACUAAUACAGGACCAUAGAGUAGAAAUGAAAGCUUCCAAAUUUAUUUUAUGAAGCCAUAUAUUAUUCAUAUAAAAGCUUCAAAAAUACAGUUUAAUUUAGGAACAUAAUUGAUUAAUGACACAUAAAAAGUAAUGUCAACACAAAAAUUAAAAAAAAUUUGUCAAUUUAAUCGAUUAGCAUAUUACAUAUUGAUAUACCAAAACAAGUGGGGUUUAUACUAGGAAUGCAAGGAUGAUUCCAUGUUCACACAUUAUUAGUAUAAUUUGCUUUGAUAUCAGUAAUCUUUGUGAAUGUUGAAAAGAAAUUUGGCAAAAUUCACUUUCCUUUUAAAAUAAAAUAGGAGUAGGUGUGUUCUUCCUUUGUGUGUGUGUGUGUAAAAGCUAGAAUGAUGCUUACAGCUAAAACAUUAAAAUAAUUCUAAUCAAAAUUAAUUACAGGACUGGGAAAUGCCCUCUGUCAUCUCCAGAUAUUUGUGAUGUACUAACUAAUACAAUUAAAUAUGAAGAAAGUUUAAUAACUAUAAGUAAAGGGGAUAAAACUUUUACUGCUUGUAAAUGAAGUGAUAAUAAGCUUGGAAAACCCAUUUCUACUUACUAAAAAAUUUUAGUCAAGGCAAAUUCACUCCUUUAAGAAUAAUCUCUAUGGCUUAUAUUUCUCUUCUAUGUUCAGUACUGAUGUUGACAGUUGACCUUUCCUUAUGGCCUUUCAAAUGAUGAUUUAGGGACCAAGUUUCUGCCCACAAUUGGGCUCUGCUAACCCUUUGGAUUUAGAGAACUUUGUUAAACUCUCUGCCAGGUCUGUCCCCAGACCCUGGCUGAUGGAUGAAAUGAGUACUCAGACACAGGUGUGUAGUGUAAGAGCAGAUAGGGGACUGCCCAGCUCAAGUGUCCAGAGUGCAGCCCUGAGAAGCUGGAGCUUCUUGCUUUAAUUCAGUGCAGGCACAAUGCCAAAAGUCUGGACCAAACACAAUCUAUAGAUAAUUAACAUUUAUUGUUCCCCUUUCAGGGAAUGUGACAUGCAUGGAUGUUCAAAGGUCAGUUCCUGAACAACUUCUAACAAACAAGUUUGAUCAAGAUUAAUUCCCUUACAUUCCCUUAUGCUUACUCCUUGCCCUCUGGCUCAGGGUUAUAGAACAGCUGACUUCAGAUGUUCUCCCCUGGAGCUUUGCAGAGCCUUUUGACCUUUCAGAAGGCCUGCUCCUUUUCCCUGUAGUUUCUCCCACCACACUGACCAGUCUCCUACAGCUCUCCACAAUGGGGUGGUAGAGAGAGAAUGUGUAGGACUAUACAAGUAGUUUUCCCGGCGAAGGCCUGAAAAUGUAUCAUAACACUUCUGCCUGUAUUUGUUAGUCAGAACUUAAUCACAUAGAUUACCUAACUCCAAGGUGGUGUGUGUGUGCACUGUGUGAUGUACUAACUAAUACAAUUAAAUACGAAGAAAGUUUAAUAACUAUAAGUAAAGGGAUAAAACUUUUACUGCUUAUAAAUGAAAUGAUAAUAAGCUUGGAAAACCCAUUUCUACUUAUUAAAAAAUUUUAGUCAAGGCAAAUUCACUCCUUUAAGAAUGCACUGUGCCUAAGUGGUGUUUUCUGUAUAUUCAAGAUUAAAACCAAAAAAUUUGUAGGCACCUAGUAAAUCAAGCCAUGUUCUGCAGAGAACUUUUAAAAUACACAAAUAAUAAACUGCUUAAUUAAAAAUUUCAGUACAAUUAGAAAAUAUCUUUGAAGAACAAAUCCAGUUUACAAAAGCCUCAAAAAUAAAAAUAAUUUAACUAGAAAUGUUUUAUCUAUAUAAAAAAUUAAGGAAUAGCUAAGAAGACCUGAAUAUUAUACUCACAGUGUGAUCUUGAGACUACUCAGUAUCAGAAAGAUACUGUUUAUCCCUAUUUUAAUCUAUAAUUUUAACAUAUAUCUAACAAUAUGUCAGUGGGAACUUGUAGUUAGCAAAGUUUAUUCUAAAAUUUACAUUAAAAUAAAUAAUGAAUAUUCUUAAGGAAUUUUAUCAAAAUAAAAUAAAAUAAGGAAAUACUGUUUCUAUUAUUAAAACUAAUUUAAAGUUUGCUAUAAUAAAAAUAGAUUUAUCCAGUAAUUUCACUCUUAGAAAUUUAUCAUACAGAUAAGCACAAAAUAUAGAACCUUUAUAGCCAGUACUGUAAUGGAACUGAUUCAUCAAAUUGUAUUCCAAAUCUUUUGGAACAGAUGACCACUGUAGCCACCUAUUAUGAAUGUUCUGCGAUAAGCACUUGCCGAUAUCAGUUCUGUAAACUACAUUUAUUGCAACAAUGUUUAUUAUACCAAAAAGUCAGAAAAAAAAAUACCCAAGGAUUCUGGACCAAAUAAAAAUUGAUAUAAUACACAGCCAUAAAAAGAAUUAGGUAGUAUGGUAUAAUCCCAAGGACAAAUUGUUAAUUUUUUUCCAGGUGAAAAUAAACAUGUACAUUAUGCUAACAUUUUCUUUUUUAUAAAUAUUUUAAUUUUAACAUAAUUAUAGAUAAAAAAUAGUUACAAAGAUAGUACAGAGAGAGGCCCCAUGUACUCUUCACUGAAUUUUCCAUAAGGGUUAUAUCCUACAUAACUAUAGUGUAAUAAUAUCAAAAGCAGGAACUUGACAUUGGUACACUAUAUAUGUAGUUCUAUGCCAUUCAUUCACAUAGGUAGACUUACGUAACCACCACAGUCAUAUAGAGACAAAAUUACUCUAUCACCUGAAAGAUCUCCAUCGUGCUACAUCUUUACAGUCACACCCCUCCCCACCAUACCUAACCCCUGAAAACAAAUCAAAUGUUUUCUAAUUCUAUAAUAUUGGCAUUUCAAGAGUGAUUUAUGAAUGAAAUAAUACUGUAUGUGACUUUCUGAGAUUAGCUUUUUUGUUGUUUUUUAACUCAGCAGACAUGCUGGAAUAUAUCCAAGGUGCUGAGUGUAUCAAUAGUCUCUUCUUUGUAUUAUUGAGUAGUAUUUUACAGUAUGAAUGUACUGAAGUUUGUUUAACCGUUCAUUCAUUAAGGGACAUUUUGGCUAUUUCCAGUUUUAGGCUAUACUUUCCAAGGAAAAGUUCCCCCAAAACUGCUAUAAGCAAUCAUGGGAACAUUUUUGUGUGGGGAUAGAUCUUCAUUUCUCUGUCAUGAAUGCCCAAGGAGUAGUACACAUGAUAAGUGUGUUUAGUUUUUUUUUUAAAGAUAUUGCAAAAGUAGUUUUCCAUAAAGACUGUACCAUUUUACAUUUCUGCUAGCAACGUGUGAGAGACCCAGAUUCUUUGUAUCCUUUGGUUAUUACUAUUUUUAUAGUUACUAUUAUUCAAUAACAUAAAUUUAUUAAAUGCAUUUAAAUGAAAUCACUAUAGUUAUAAUAUUUAAACAUCACUUUUAUUUUAGAUGUUCUAGUAAGUAUGUAGUGAUAUUUCAUCUUGGUCUUAAUGGCUAGCAAUGUUGAACAUCUUUUCCUAUGCUUGUUUUCAAUCCACAUAUUCACUUCUGUGAAAUGUCUUUUUAUAUCCUUUACACAUUUUAAAAUUAAAUAGUUUUGUUUCACAGUUGAGUUUUGAGAAUUAUUUAUAUAUUCUUUUAUGAAUUCUUUGUUAAAUAUAUAGAUAUAAAAAUGUUUGCUCCAAAUCUGUAGUUUGUCUUUUAACAGGGUUUUUCAUGGAACAAAAGUUUUAAUAUAAAAGAAGUUCAAUUUAGCAAUAUUUUUAAAGAAUUGUACUUUGAUAUCAUUUUAAAGGACUCUUCACCAAGCCCUAUGUCUCAAAGAUUUUUUCUUACAUUAUCUUACAAAGUUAUUUUAGUUUUGUUUUACAUUGAAGACUAUGAUCUAUUUUGAGUUGAUAUUUGCACAAAGUGUGAGACCUAAAUCAAAAUUUGGGUUUUUUUGUUAGUUUGUUUUUUUUGUUGUCUAUGGCUAUUCAGUUGCUCCAGCACCAUUUGUUGAAAAUACUAUCCUUGAUCCUGUUACCGAAAAACUAGGGGUUUGGUCCAGAUCCUGCUGCCUACCCGACAGAAGCCUAAUCACGAGACAACGUUGCAGCUGAGAAGAUGAGAGAUCAGUCUCAAAUCCAUCUCCCUGACUGGGUAAAAUUGGAGGUUAUUAUAUAGCAGGGAAGAAAUGUAACCAUGUAUGGGAAAACAGAAAUUAGAGAGAGGUAAGGAGAAGAGUUGGUCAACAGGAAGCAGGUGGUUGGUUAGGCAAUCAUGAUAGUUGCGGGAUCUGGCAUCUUAUGGUACAGAUGCAGUGACCUGGAAAGAAAUGUAUAAGUUUAGUUCAUUGAUAUGCCCAGAUGGGAGGCCUGAUGGUUGAUUUUCCUGAGAAAGGAACUCAGCUAAGACAAAUUUAACUUUUUCAAUUUUUUAGACCGGAAGGGUCUAUUUCUAUGUUUAUUCAUAAGAAAUGAUAAACAUCAGUCCUGUGGGACAAUUGAGCCAGUUUCAAUCUUUUAAAUUGAUUUUGCACCUUUGUCACAAAUCUGUUGGCUGUACUUUUGUGGCACUGUUUCUGAGUUCCCUAUUUUAUUCUAUUGACUAUGUUUCUAUCCCUCUGCCAACACCUUAGAGUCUUGAUUACUGUGGUGUUGAUAAGACUUGAAAUUAGGUAAAAUGUUUCCUCCUACUUUUCUCCCCCAGAAUUUGUUUUAGCUAUUUUAGUUCCUCUGCUUUUCCAUAUCAAAUAUAUGUUAUUUUGGAGAAUACUGACAUCCUUACUAUGUUGAAUCUUCCAAUCCAUGAAUACAGAAUAUUUCUCCACUUAUUUAGAAUUUAUUUGAUUUUUUUCCAACAGUUUUCUUGUUUUCAGCAUUCAAGCCUUGUAAUUGUUUUGUUGGAUUAAAACCCUUGCAUUUCAUUAUUUAUGAAUGACUAUACAUAAAACUCUAUUUUUAAUUUCUGUGUUCAUGUAUUCAUUGCUAGUAUAUAGAAAUAUAAUUUCAUGUGUUAUCUUAUGUAUAGCCACCUUGCUGAGCCCUCUUAUUAAUUUUACAUUCCUUGUGAUUUUCUUUGUGAAACAGCAUGUCAUCUUAAAAUAGAAGCAGUUUUAAUUAAUUGUCUCCAAGCUGUAUGUUUUUUUAACUCUUAUUUUAUUGUCCUACUAUGCUGGCUAAAAAUGUCAGUACUGUGUGGACUAGUAGUGGUGAGGAUUGACAUUCUUACAUUGUUUCUGAUCAUAGGGGUAAGCAUUCAAUAUUUCACCUUUUAAUAUAAUUUAGACUAGGUUUUUGUAGAUUCUCUUUCUCAAAUAGACAAACUUUUCUUCCAUUUCUGGUCUCUGAAUUUUUUUUAUGAAUGGAAAUGAAUCAUGCCAAAACCUUUUCCCAUGUGAUUAAUAUGACGAUGUGACUUCCUUUUUAGCUUGUUAAUAUAAUGGAUUACAUUGAUUGAUUUUUGAAUAUUGAAUCAGUCUUGCAUAUCUGGAAAUAAAUACUCUUUGUUAAUAAGGUACAGUUAUUUUCCCACAUUGCUGAAUUCUAUAAAAUGUGUCAAGAAUUUUUGCAACUGUGUACAUGAGGGAAAUUGGUCUGUAAUUUCCUUUUUGUGUGAGUGCUGUCUUAGUCUUUGAAACUGGUUCAAAGCAUGGCAGACAUAUCCAAUGUCCCAUGGGUAUUGGGGGGUUCAUCCUAGUCUCCAGAGUAAGCUUCAUAUCCAAGGCUUAAAGUACAGCAGCCAUGCAAAUUGUAUUUAAAUGGCUGAAGGGUGCCCAUUAUUUGUUUGAUCUGAUUUUUAAAUGGAGGCUGAGAGCCCAACUAGGAGAUUUUUAAUUAUCCGUGGAAUUAUGUUUGUAACUUCAUAGACCUCCAAAGAGAAAUUCUAUAUCUUGGUGAAUAACAAUUUUAGAUGGAAAUUAUCUACUACAUUACCCUGCAGGAAUUGUUAUACUAACUCUACUGUUUGCAGUAGGACUAUAUACUGUAGCACCCCAAGGGUGGAAUAUCAAACAGAAAUUCUCAAUUACUAUAGUAUUUUGCUUAAUUAUUAUCCUUUAGCAGGGAUAACAGUUACUGACAGGAAGUAAACAUGAAUGUUUUACUAUCACUAAGUCUGCUAGGGGUUUUUAUUGGAUUUGGUAAUACGUCACACCCUUUAGCUACUACAGUAUCAGUCAUGACCCAAUUGGGCCAAAUUAGGCCCAAGACUAAUUUCUGGGCCUGUCCUGAGUGGUUUGCUUAGUUCAAUAACACUAAGGAACCUCUCCAUGACCUGGAACUUACUGUCUUAGGAUUCCCUUUGUUAGCCUUAUCUUUAACCAUUAAAGACUUGUCAGGCAUAAAUGGAACAUGGUAUGGGAGUACUUUCAACUGGAUAACUAACUCCUCACAGGAAGACACUUUCUCUUCCAGUGCCAGAAGGUGCCAGAAGACAUUUUCCCCAAAGAUAAGCUUCACACUCUCAGGCUAGGGAAACUUGACUGGGUAAUAGCAAAUGCCUCUCUUUGUUUUAGAAGUGGGGGAAAGGGACCGUACCUGAGAGAUCUCAAAUAUUAUAACACCACACUUGUAAUCACUGAAAGCUCAGAGAAUUGGAGAAAAAAUGUAAUAGGGAUGAUAUAAGAAAGUUAGAAGCCCUAUGGGGAGGCUUUCAAAGUCUGGCCUCUCCUCCUGGUUGAAAGUCUCAGUGGGAAUGGCAGGCUCUAGGUAGCCCCUUUGACACAAUAUACUAUGAUGUUAAAAAUAACAUAUGGGCCUUUCCAAACAUGCCCCCUCAUGGAAUUCCAGAUCCCUGAAUGAGACCCACCAAUAGUGGUGGCCUGCAAAUUUGUGGAUGAACCGGGGACAUCUGGACUGACAGCCCUUGUCAUGCGGAUUAUCUAAUAUAUUGGCCAGGGCAUAUUCUGUCCCUAAUCUUUCAAAACUCCAACUAUCAAGUGUACCCUUCUCACUUAGCAUGUAAAAUUCCAAAAGGCAUCGUAAAUGACUAUCCUGAUUAUAGAUAUCCCUAUCCCAAUGAUGCUCCUAUUAUAUAUAAGAGGGAAAAACUUUUAAGAUAUGAGAAAAAUCUGUCUCUCACAAGUCACAACUUAGAACCGUUCCUUCAAGGACCAGGGCUACAUUGCCUUUGUGGCUCUUGGCUACACUUAAUCCUCCCUAGGCAUUGGAAGGGAACUUGUACUAUAGUAGCAGUGGUUCCUGACCUAUUAUUUUUAAAUUCUACUGACAAUGCAACAUCAUGUAAGGACAUACCCAAUUUAGGCUCUUUUCUAAAAACUGCACUAUCUUGGAUAUGCUGAACAAAAAGAUCUAUACUUUUCAUGCUCUUAUAUGGAGAUUUCACUGAAAGGGAAGACUGGGGAGGGCAUGCACACGACAAUCUCAUCUUAGAAAAACCAUGGAUGGGAGAUUCUAUAGCCAGAGGCUUAUUCUUGUUUUCUGGUAUUCCUUUCCUUGAAAGAUCAGUACUUAAUAUAUCCAUUAUGAUGCAAUGAGGAUGGAAAGCCAUAGAAGGACAACAUAGUAGGAGCCAUAGAAGCACAACAGUCUAUAAACUUUUUAGCUUCAGUAGUAGCACAAAAUAGACAGGACUUAGAUGUCCUUACAGCAGAAAUAGGGAGUACCUGUGCACUUUUAAAUCAAACAUGCUGCUUCUGGAUCAACACCUCUAGUCAAGUAGAAGAAAAACUACAGGUACUUAAAGAUCAGAUUAAAAUCAUUGGCAAGCUAAGAGAAAAUGUGGGCUCAAGCCCAGGGUGGCUACACGCUCUCUUUAAUGAAUUCCAGGCUUCUUUAUGGAGUUGGUUAACUCCUUUAUGAAGCCCCUUCUUGCUUAUAGGUCAUAUAUUAGUGUUUGAACCUUGUAUCCUCAAUAGUAUAACUUGAAUUGUUUCCUCUUGUCUAGAAGCAAUCAAACUCCAAAUGGUGCUGCAAACAGAACCACACAUGGACACACCAUUCUUCCAAAGACCCUUAUAUCAACUCCAGGAGGAACGCUAGCUGUCCUUCACUCAAUACCCCCUUUCAGCAGGAAGUAUCCAGAAGGAGUCAUCGUCCAAGACCCCCUAACAGGAGUUAGAGUUACAGCUCCUGAGGGGGGAAUAAUAUAGGAGUAAAAAAGUAAUUAUUUAGGCAGAUAGUGAGGGUACAGGAGUCCUUGGUAAGGCUUUUCAUUUAAUAAAAAGCAGCCCCCAAACCAUUUCUUUUCUAGCAGAAAACAGCCUGAAAAGUCAGGCUGCAAGCAUAGACAAGCAAGCUGGAAGCUUGCAUUAAUGCUGGCAGCUGUACCUAAAAGCCAGGUACAUCCAACAUGGCAAUUCCUCUCUCCCUUCUCUUUGGCACCACAUGUGCAGAUGUCAUGGUGCAAGCCAGGAAAAAAACCCCAUCUGCAUAAUAAAAGAUUAAGGUGGCAUGGCCAGUUUCUUUGUGGGCUAUGUAAGUGGCACACUUGGUCAAACCAAUCCUGUGGGCCCUUUGUAAAUCAGACACUGCCUUACACUGUCUUCUGAAACACCUUUAUAUAACCAACUAUUUCCUGCCACGCACAGGGAAAUCCAUUCGGAGCCUUCCUCCCUCUGCAUGGGGGAGCUGCUCUCUUCUUUUCUACCUAUUAAACUUUCCUCUCCUUAACCCACCCACGUGUAUCCGUGUCCUUAAUCUUCUUGGUGUGAGAUAAUGAACUUCGGGUAUUUUCCCAGACAACAAAGCCACUUCAAUAGGUAGAAGGAACUCAUUUGCAGGUAAGAAUUUGGAUGUGGGACUUAGGACUUCUGAGUUAAUGCUGGAAUGACUUAAGACUUUGUGGGGACGAUUAAGAAGCGAUGAUUGUAUUUUACAAUAUGAGAAGGUCAUGAGAACUGGGAGGGGUGGGGAAGAAUGAACUACUUUGGAUAUUUGUCCCUGCACAAAUCUAAUGUUGAAUUGUAAUUCUCAGUGUUGGAGGUGGGGCCUGGUGGGAGAUAAUUGGAUCAUGGGGGUGGAUUUCUCAUGAAUAGUUCAACACCAUCCCCUUGGUGCUUUCGUAGCAAUAGUGCGUGAGUUCUCAUGAGAUCUGGUUGUUUAAAGCUGUGUGGCACCUUUCCCACCACUGUCUUUUGCUCCUGCUUUCACCAUGUGAUGUGCUUGCUCUCCCUUGCCUUCCACUAUAAUUGUAAGCUUCCUGAAGCCCUCCCAGAAGCUGAUGUCAGAGCUCUGCUUCCUAUACAGCCCAUAGAACUGGAAGUCAAUUAAACCUGUUUUCAUUAUAAAUUACCCAGUCUCUGGUAUUUCUUUGGAGCGAUGUAAGAAUGGUUUAAUACACAUGGUGUGUCUUUUCCAUCCUUUUACUUCCAAGCUAACUAUAUAAUUAUAUUUGAAGUAGUUUCCUUUAGACAACAUAUUGUUGGGUUAUAUUUAUUUUGGUUGAUUGGCUGGUUUUUGUUCAGUCUUCCCAUCUGUAAUUUAAUUGUAUUUGUAGCAUUGAUACUUAAUGUUAUUAUUGUCAGGGCUUAAGUCUGUAACUUUAUUUUUUGUUUUCUCACCGUUGUUUGCUCUCACUGUUGUUUGUUCCUGUGUUUUAUUUUUUCUUGCCUUCCUGUGGAUUACAUGAACAUUUUGUAGAGUUUUAUUUUGAUUGAUCUAUAGUGUUUUUGAGCAUAUCUUUUUGUAUAGUAUCUUUAGUGGUUGCUCUAGGUAUAACAUUAUAUACAUAUAUAACUAAUCAAAAUCUACUGGUGUUGACAUUUUACCUGUUGAAGUAUAGAAACUUUACUGUCCAUUACACUCCUUCUAAACAUAUAAUAUAGUUAUCUGAAAUAUUCCUCUACAUAUAUUGAGAGCCAUCUUAGACAGUGUUAUAUAUUUUGCUUCAACCAUCAAACAUAAAAACUAUUGUAUUUUCCAUAAUUUUGCUUCUGCCAUUUUUUUCUUUUCUGUUGUUUUAUUUCUCCUAGUAUCAUCCAAUUUCUGUUUUAUUAACGCUCUUUAUUCUUUUAGGGUAGAUCUACUUGCAUCAAAUUAUCUUGGUUUUCAUUCAUCUUAAAAUGUUUUGAUUUCCCUUUCAUUUCUGAAUGAUAUUUUUUCUGUCUAUAAAAUUCUAGGUUGGUAGUUUUUUUUUUUUCAGUACUUGAAUUAGGCUUUGUCAUUUCCUUUCAGCCUCCUUUGAUUUCUCAUGAGAAAUGCACUGUCAUUGGAAUCGUUUUUCCCUUAAAGGUAAUGCAUCAAUUUCUCUGUAUGCUUUCUAAAAUAUUCUUUGUUUUUAAAUUUCAGAUAAUUAACUAUGAUGUGUUUUGUCAUAGAUUUCUUUCAGUUUAUCCUAUUUAAGAUUUGAUCAGAUUCUUGAAAUUGUGAGUUUAUCUCUCUCUCUUUCCCUGUGUGUGUGUGUGUGUGUGUGUGUGUGUGUGUGUGUGUUGUCAGAUUUGGAAAAUAUUCUGCCAUUAUUUCUUCAAAAAUUUUCAACCUUAAUCUUUUUUCUUUCCUUUUACGUAUUGAUUACCCAAUGCUUAAUCUUUUGUAAUAUUAUAGUACCACAUAUUCCUGAGGCUCUGUUCUUUUUUCCCAGUUUAUUUUUUCUCUGUUGUUCAUAAUAGGCCAUUUCUAUGUUCAGUCUCCAAGUUCACUGUUUCAUUCUCUGUCCUCUCCAUUCUGCUAUUGAAUCACUUAUAUUUUAUUUUGGUUAUAACAUUUUUAUUUUGAAAAUUUCCAUUUCAUUCUUUUUUGUAUUUUCUGGGUUUCUUUUGCUGUGGCUUUCUAUUUUUUAUUUGUUUUAAUAUAUUGAUUAAAGCAUUUUUAUGAUGAUUGCUAUAAAAUCCUUACCACAUAUCUCUAAUAUUUGGGUCAUCUUAAUGUUCAUGUUUUUUAUUGUAUUUUCCCAAUUGAUUUUAGAUUUUUUUGGUUCUCAGCAUAGUCAAUAAUAUUUUUAUUAAAUUCUGGACUGGUUAAGCAUUAUAAAACUCUAGUAGAACUUAUCUGAAAUAAUAUUAUACCAGUACCAUGCUGUUUCAGUGACUAUGGCCUUGUAGUAUAGUUUGAAGUCAGGUAAUGUGAUGCCUCAAGAUUUGUUCUUUUUGCUUAGUCUUUCUUUGACUAUGCAGGCUCUUUUUUGGUUGCAUGAAUUUUAGGAUUGUUUUUUCUAGUUAUAUGAAGAAUGAUGGUGGCAUUUUGAUGGGGAUUGCAUUGAAUGUGUAGAUUGCUUUUGCAGUAUGGUCAUUUUCACAAUAUUAAUUCUACCCAUCCAUGAGCAUGGGAUGAGUUUCUGUUUGUUUGUGUCGCCUAUGAUUUAUUUCAGCAGUGUUUCCUCAUUUUUGUUGUAGUGGUCUUCCAUCUCCUUAAUUUUGUAACUUGAAAAUUUUCUGAAUUCAUUUACCAGUUCUAGGAGCUUUCUGGAUGCGUUUUUAGGGUUUUCUAGGUACAUGAUCAUAUCAUCAGCAAACAGCGACAGUUCGACUUCCCCUUUACUGAUUUGAAUGCCCUUUAUUCUUUCUCUUGUCUGAUUGCUUUGGCUAGGACUUUCAGUGCUAUGUUGAAUAGAAGUGGUGAAAGUGGGCAUCCCUAUCUUGUUCCAGUUCUCAGGGGGAAUGCUUUCAACUUUUCCUUGUUCAGUAAAAUGUUGGCUGGGGGUUUGUCAUAGAUGGCUUUUAUUACUUUAAGGUAUGUCCCUUAUAUGCUAAUUUUGCUGAGGGUUUUAAUCAUAAAGGGAUGCUAGAGUUUGUCAAAUGCUCUUUCUGCAUCUAUUGAGAUAAUUACGGGAUUUUUUACAUUUUAAUUCUGUUUAUGUGGUGUAUGACAUUUUUUGACUUGUAUGUGUUAAACCAUUCCUGCCUCCCUUGUGUAAAACCCACUUGAUUAUGGUAGAUUAUCCUUCUUAUAUGCUGUUGGAUUCUUUUGGCAAGUAUUUUGUUGAGGAUUUUUGCAUCUAUGUUAAUCAGUGUUAUUGGUCUGUACAUUUCAUUUUUUGUUAUGUCCUGGUUUUGGUAUUAGGGCGAUACUAGCUUUACACAAUGAUUUAGGGAGGAUUCUAUCUUUCCUUAUCUUUUGGAAUAUUGUCAAUAGUAUUGGUACCAAUUCUUCUUUGAAUGUCUGAUAGAAUUCAGCUGUGAAUCCGUCAGGUCCUGAACUUUUCUUUGUUGGCAUUUUUUUUUUUUUUUUUUUUUUUUUUUUUUACCGUUUUAAUCUCACUGCUUGUUAUUGGCCUGUUUAGAGUUUCUAUAUCUUCCUGGUCACCAAAACAGCAUGAUACUGGUAUAAAAAAUAGACACAUAGACCAAUGAAACAGAAUAGAGAAACCUAGAAAUAAAGCCAAAUACUUAGAGUCAACUGAUCUUCAACAAAGCAAACAAAAACAUAAAGUGGGUAAAGGACACCUUACUCAACAAAUGGUGCUGGAGUAAUUGGCAAGCCACAUGUAGAAGAAUUAAACUAGAUCUUCAUCUCCCACCUUAUACAAAAAUCAACUCAAGAUGGAUCAAAUACUUAAAUCUAAGAGCUGAAACCAUGAAAAUUUUAGAAGAUAACAUCAGAAAAGCCCUUCUAGAUAUUAGCUUAAGGAGAGACUUCAUGGCCAAGAACCGAAAAGCAAAUGUAACAAAAACAAAGAUAAAUAGAUGAGACUUAAUUAAACUAAAAAAAUUCUACACAGAAAAAUAAAUAAUAAGCAGAGUUAACAGACAACACACAGAGUGGGAGAAAAUCUUCACAAUCUGCACAUCCAACAAAGGACAACAUCCAGAAUCUACCAAGAACUCAAACAAAUCAUCAGGAAAAAAUUAAACAAUCCUACCAAAAAGCAGACUAAAGACAUGAAUAGACAAUUCUCAAAAGAAGAUAUACAAAUGGGCAACAAGUAUAUGGAAAAAUGCUCAACAUCACUAAUUAUCAGGGACAUGCAAAUCAAAACCACAGUGAGAUGCCACCCUACUCCUGCAAGAAUGGCCAUGACAAAAAAAAUAAAAAAUAAUAGAUAUUGGCAUGAAUGUGGUAAAAAGGGAACAGUUUUAUACUGUUGGCAGGAAUGUAAACUAGUACAACCACUGUGGAAAACAGUGUGGAGAUUCCUUAGAGAAUUAAAAGUAGAUCUACCAUUUGAUCCAGCAAUCCCACUACUAGGUAUCUACUUGGAAGAAAAGAAGUCAUUAUACGAAAAGGACAUUUGCAUAUACAUGUUGAUAGCAGCACAAUUCACAAUUGCAAAAUUAUGGAACCAGCCCAAAUGCCCAUCAAUUAAUCAAUGAGUGGAUAACAAAAUAUGAGAGAUAUGUAUAUCAUAUAUAUAUCCAUAUAUAUAUAUAUCCCUAUAUAUAUCCAUAUAUAUAUAUAGUAUAUGGCUGAGUGGUAUCCCUAUGUAUAUAUAUCCAUAUAUGUCCAUAUAUACAUAUACAUAUAUAUAUAUCCAUAUAUACAUAUACACAUAUAUAUCCAUAUAUACAUAUACACAUAUAUAUCCAUAUACACAUAUACAUAUAUAUAUAUCCAUAUACAUAUAUGUGUAUAUAUAUACAGGGAUACCACUCAGCCAUAAAAAGGAAUGAAAUAAUGGCAUUUGCAGCAACCUGGAUGGAACUGGAGACUAUUACUAUAAGUGAAGUAACUCAGUAACGAAAAACCAAACAUCACAUGUUCUCACUCAUAAGUGGGAGCUACGCAGUGAGGACACAAAAGCAUAAGAGAGGGCUUUGGGUACUUGGGGGAAAUAGUGGGAGGAGAUGAGGGAUAAAAGACUACACAUUGAGUACAGUGUACACCUGCUCCCUAAAAACCUAUUGAAAUAAAAAAAAUAAUUUUUAAAAAAUCUUAUUUUAUGAGAUAUCUUCUGAGAUCACUCUGGUAAGUGAAUGAGGAUAAUACCUUGUUACUGUCUAUGAGAAUAAGAAAAUCCUAAUUCUGCAUGGUUUUUUUUUGAUACCACACUAGACAGCCAGGGUAAGGGAUUUGUGUUGUUACAGCUAGGCAAGAGUUGAAGUCUAGACUCUUCCCUCAACAUUUGCUGGUAGGGAUGAAAAUGAGGCCAAAAUUUUCAUAAUUUCUGCACUGUUUAGCUGGAAUACAGUGAUUACCUAAAAGUUUUCUAUCGUGCUAAAUUGCUCCAUUCCAGGUUCUCUAACUAGAGACAGUAUGCUUUUCUUGGGGACAUUUUUGUCUGCUUCUGUUGGCAUUUCAUUUUUUUUUUUUUCUGGUUUCUUCAGUACCCAGUCUAGAGUAUAUGAGGCAAAAAGAAACUCCAGUAAAAUUCCCUCCAUGUCAUUGCUUGUGUCCCAAGUUACCUGUAUAGUCUGCCUUCUCUCUAUUUUUCCAAAUAUUCCUAUAUUUAUGUUAUAUAUAUUCUUAUAUUUAUGUUAUAUAUAAUGCCCAGGGGGUUUGUUGUACUUAAUGGAAGGAACAGAAAAAACUACCUCUGCUCUACCUUCCCAGAAGUGCAAGUCCUGCCAUUUGCAUUUUAAAAAUAAUUUUUACAUAUACAAUACAUUUAUAUACAUCCAUAUAAAGUCAUAACAAAUUUCCUUUUGUUAUAACUUUAUAUUUGUAUAGAUAUAAUUUAUAUAGAUAUAAUAUAUACUAUACUAAUAAUAUAUAAAUAUAAAUAUAUGAAAAACUAUAUUUUCAUAGGUUAUCACUGAAAGAGUACACAUGAAACUUAUAGCAGAAAUUAUUGCUGAAGAAAUGUUACAAAAUACUGUGUACUAUUUAAAACAUUAUUCACACUUUAAAUUUAGCCUUUCAGUUAGAACCUCCUUCUUCCAGUAAUCCACCAAAGUGAUGAACACAAAGGUAAAGAGGAGGAGAAGCACCCAAUAUAUGUUCUCUAGGCUUUUUAGAAAAUAUGGAGGUGCUCCUUUGGCCAUAUACAUGUGAACCUGUAAGAAUGGUGAUACUGCAGACAUCAAAGAAUGCAUACUGUUCAAAAAGGAAUGCCCCACAAAUGUUACCAGGGAAAAACUGGAAUAUUCUACAAUGUACCCAGCAUGCUGUUGGCAUUGUUAUAAAUAAACAAGUUAAGAACAAGAUUCUUGCCAAGAUAAUUAACGUGCAUGUUGAGCAUAUUAAGUGCUCUGACAACCGAGAUAACUUUUUGAAAUGCAGGAAGGAAAAUGAUCAGAAAAAGAAGGAAGCAAAAGAGAAAGGUAUGUGAGUUCAACUGAAGUGCCAGCCUGCUCUACCCAAAGAAGUAUACUUUCUGAGACCUAGUGCAAAGCCUGAGCUGCUGGAACCUAUUUCCUGUGAAUUCAUGGCAUAAUAGGUGUAAAAAAAAAUAGAAGACCUUUUGACUAUAAACAAACAAACUGAAAAAUAUAUAUGUCUAGACAAAACACUUUAAAAGCCCUUUACAAGGGAAUAUCCAAAUGGGAAAUAAACGUAAGAAAAGGUGAUCAACUUUAUUAUUUAUCAGGUAAGUGCAAAUUCAAAUCACAUUACAAUUCUGCUGCAUAUUCACAAUUGCUAAAAUGAAAAAAUGAGAAAAGGAAAAAAGGUAGACAUAUGGAGCAACUAAAAAUCCACACACUGCUGGUUGUACAGUAAUUUAUUCUAUCAUUUGGCAGCGUUUACUAGAGGAGAGCAUAUCCAUAACCAGCCAUUUAACUUCUAAGUAUAUUCCUAACAGAAAUGCACAUACAUGUUCAAAUGACAUGCACAGGAAUAUAAGUAAUAGUCUUAGUCAUAAUGGUAGAAUAUUGGCAACUACCAUAGGUAAAAUAUAGGAAUAAAUUUUCAACUCUUUAUCAACUAGAAUACUGUAGAACAAUGAAAGUGAAUGAACUACAACUACAAGCAACAUUAUGAAUGUAUCUCACAACAUAUGGUUGAAUCAAUAAAAUCCAAUCUUUAUUUGUAUGCUUCUCAGGAUAAAAUGUUUUUGAAAAUCUAAUAUAAUAUAUGGCAUUAAAAGGAGAAUGGAGGUUACCCUUCAGGCACAAUGAAUAAAAGGGUGCAUUAAAGGGACUUCUGGAGUGCUGUCAAUGUUCUGCUUUUUGAUCUAGGUGCUGGUUGCAUGGGGGAAUUUAAAUUGUAAAAAGUCAUCAAACCAUACACGUAUGAUUUCUCAACUUUUCUAUAUAUUAUACCUCAAAAAUUCAAAAAUGAAUGAAAAUUUUCUUAUAAUUAAACUAUGGAAAUAUAAAUGCAGUGAACUUAUUGGAACACUUCUUUUUUAUACAUACUGAUUAACAAAAAGAAUUUUCUAUGUUUUUAAUUAUCAUUUUGCAAAAAAUCAAGUGAAGAUUAUUUUGUCUUCUCUUUGCUUUCCAGAUUCUUAAGCAUUUCAAUUAAACAUCAUUGGGCAGGGGGUAUAUGGGCAAGGAGUAUGUGAGGUUGCAUUUGGCACAAAGAAAAUCUUAAUAAAUUAUAAAUAUUCAAUGUUUUAAUUUAGACCACGUUUUACAACCAUAAUAAAGUUAGAAAUUAAAAGUUCCAAUGAGUCAAAUGUAAGAGUACACAAAAAUUUAUAAAACUUAUUCAAAACAAAUAAAAUAAACAUUAAAUUACUAACAUUUAAGAAAAUUAAAUCAAUGAAAAAAAUGUGUACAAGAAAAAGAAGAUCAAUAAUGUCUCAGACCUAAAAAUCUAGAAAUCAGCCUUUGGCUCCCCCUUUCUGUCACACCUACAUACCUAGUCUAGCAACAAUUUUGCUAGACCAGGGUUUCUCAAGCGCAACACCAUUGAAAUUUUGGGCUGGAUGAUUCUUUGUAUUAGGAGUUGUCUUGUGCUUUGUAGAAUGGCUAACAUCAUUCCUGGCAUCUACCAUCUAGAUGCCAGUUGUACCACCUCCAUCCCUGGUUGUGACAAUCAAAAAGGUCUCCAUAUAUUGCCAGAUGUUCUCUAGGCACAAAAUAAACCAAUUUGAAAUGAUGGCAUUAGACCCUACCUCUUUAUUUUGAAUCCUUCCAUUUCUUUUCCAUUCCACUCCUAACUCCCUGUUCAAAGUCAGUGUCUUCUCUUGUAUGAACUAUUAAAGCAAUUUCUCUUUGUUUUCAAUCAUGGUUCUUUAUGAUUCAUUCUUCACACAGCAGCCAUAUAAAUAUAUUUUGUCACUUUUCAAUGGCUUCACUGGGGACUUAAAAUAAAUAUUAAACUUUUCACCUAUGGCUACGAGGCCUGAAUUACUUGGCAUCUCUUCAUCUUUCUGGACUUAUGUUCUGCCUUUCUUACCCAAUCUCAUGACAUUUUCGACAUCUGGAAUUUCUUCACUUUUUCUAUGUUAACUUAGCUCAUUUUCAUCUUUGGCUCUUUUGCAGGUCUCUGCCUGGAAUGCUCUUCUGGAAUGUUGCAUCACUCACCUUUCAGUUCAAAAUUAAACAUUGUCUUCUCAAAUAGUCUUUCUCUGAUCACAAGCUCUAAAUCAGUCACAUUUUAAAUUUCUUCAAACUCAAAGCAUUUUAAUUAUCUUCAUAGUAGUUAUUAUAUUUUCUUUAUUAUUAUUUGCUAUCCCUCAAAUAAAAAAAUAAAAAGGUCAGACUCAUGAAGAUCAGAGAGAUCUGACCAAUAAGAAAGGUUACUAGAAAUUCAAUGGAUGCAGGCAAUCGCAUGAUCAAGGAAGAGCAUGUCUAAAACAGUCUAAAACCAUCAGCAUAUCUCAUAUGUCUUCUUUCAUUGGGGACAUUGGAUUGAGAUUUAACAUACGAGGUUUAAAGCAAUGCAUGUGAAGCAUCAUUUAUACAAAAGUAACUGUAUUGGUCAUAAAACAUAUCCAUUUUAUACCCAAUAAUUACAUGAGAUGUAAUAUUUUCCAGCAUACUUUGCUCCAUAAUUCCAUCAAUUCCAAAUUUAUAUUUUAUAAGCAACUAGAGCAGGUCCUGAGAAAAGCAUUCCACAGAUAAAGACUCUAUUUCCUUCUGGUAAAUACCAUCAGAGGGUCUGAUAACAUGUUGUCAAGAUGACUUGACCUGAACAUUUUUCUUUUUCUGACUGCAUGUAUGUCCUCAUGGGAAUGGUGAUAAGCUGUAGGCCAGCUACUAACCCUUUUCUUCCUACUCCAAAUACACUCCCCAUCUCCCAACACAAACCCACUUUUUCAGAGCAAGUACUUUCAGAGACGUCACUUCUGUAUCUCCUGUACCUAAAACUACACCUAGCACUUAGUAGCUUAUGAAGUUUAUAAAUAAAUAAACAAAAAGUUACAAGAAAAUCUAAUGCUCAUUGAUGAUGCAAGAUAAAAUUUCAUUUAAUUAUAAUAUAAUACUAGAAUUAUUCAGAAAUAAAAUAGCAAUAAAGAGAUCUUAACAUGCCUCUAUCAAAAUUAAAAACAUAAAUAUAAAUUAUUGGCAUAUAAGAAUAAAAUAUGAUUAGUAAGACUGUUCUAGCAUAAACAUGCUCUCUCACAUACAGAAACAGACACGUAUGUCAAACCACUUGUGUGCUGGAGCCAGCUCAUAGCUUGUAAGAGCCAACUGUUUUAUUAAUUUUGUGUCAGUUGUUAAAUACAGUUGUUACUAUGAAAAUUAUAAAACAUAAAACUAAAUAAAUAAUUUAAAAAAUAAAAGUAAUAAAAAUGGAAAAACAUCACUUUCUAAUUAGUUUACUGCAUUGUACUAUUAUCUAUGCCUUCAAGUUUAUGUUUAUUGUAUCUUUGGGGUGGAAUUACUAGAUAAUUGUGUAUUACUACUCAUUUCUUUCUAACUCCACAUUUAAUUACAUUACUUUGGGAGUGUAAGAUUGGCCACAGUAAGAGUAUUUAUGCCAUAAAUAUUUUAAAAAUGCUACAAAUUAGGCUUUUUCAUUUUGUGAUGAGAGCUAGUUGUUAAAUAAACAUUUACCAGCACAUCAUUAUACCAAACUGUAUAAUAAUAUAAAGAGGAAAAAAUAGAGCAGGUGAACAGAAAAAUGGACCAAAAAAUAAAAAAAGGUUAGAAAAAAAAGAACUAUAAAAGGUUAAUGAAAUAGAGAUUGAUAAACUAAUGUCAAUUAACUUUUUUCUUAAUAACAGAAACUGUGUUGUUUGGGACAGUGAUGGCACCAGCUGGAUAUGAUUCUCAGGUUCCCUUGAAAUUAGGGAUGGCCUUAUGAUAGUUCUUGUCCAUCAGGCAUAAGCAGAAAUGUUGGCCAUUUGGGAAAAGCUUCAGUUUUAUCAGCAGAUAUACAUUCAUACUUUGAGGCGGCUGGCAAGAUGGCGGAAUAGAAACAGCUUCGGUCUGCAGCUCCCAGCGAGAUCAACCCAGAAGGCGGGUGAUUUCUGCAUUUCCAACUGAGGUACUUGCUUUGUUCUUGAGAGUUUGAAGCUUACAUUGUCUAAAAAGUUGGGAUUCAAAGUGACAGUUGAUCCUGACUCACACGUCAAAAUAAUUCAAGAGAUUUCCUUAAGCUCUAUCGUGCUUUAAAAUCAACAUGCCUGGGAAUGUAAAUUAGUAUCGUCAUUAGAGAAAACAGUAUGGAGGUUCCUCAAACAAUUAAAAAUAAAAUUACUGUAUGAUCUAACAAUCCCAUUACUGGCUAUAUAUUCAAAGGAUAUGAAAUCAGUAUGUUAAAUAGUUAUAUGUACUCCCAUGUUUAUUGCAACAUUAUUAACAAUAGCCAAGAAAUGGAAUCAACCUAAGCGUCUAUCAACAGAUAAAUGAAUAAAGAAAAUGUGGUAUACAUACACAAUGAAAUACUAUUCAGCCUUAAAAGAGGGGGAAAUUCUGUCGUUUGUGACAACAUGAAUAAAUCUGGAGGACACUAAUGUUAGGUGAAAUAAGUUAUGCACAGAAAGAUAAAUACUGCAUGAUCUCACUUACAUGUGC
rnacentral:lncRNA from 1 species